rnacentral:lncRNA from 1 species
UUGCAAAGAGUCAAAGGUCAAACUCAGGAUCUGAUUUCACUAGGAUCUUUUUACAAAGGUGUUCUAAAACACAAGGAGUACUCAACUCAAGGCUAACCUAUUACAGGACUAUCCAAAAUUUAGGCUGCCAAGGAGUACAACAAAAGAAUGGGUUCCCUACAACUCUACAUCUAUGAGGGAACACUGUGAGUUGGAGAAGGGGCGUCGUCCUCUUCAAUGUCCAUGCUACCGUACUGUGACCGCACUUGCACCCACAUCAUGCACCAUGGGAACCUCGUUCCAGGGACAGCAGGGGUAUAAGCCACUCCCUAGUUCAAUCAGGUACUAGGCUUCCCCAUCCCAUACUAGGUAUGAUAUUAGUACUUUCAAACACUUGAUCACGAACACCACCACUAUCGGGCCUUAGCAAGUUUCAUAGACAGACGGGGCGAUCAGCCGACCACCAAAAAGUUAUCCAACACCUUUCCCCGUCCAUCGUCCUUAUAGUUGUAACAGAAGGGAAACGACCAACUCCUACAACUCGCGAGUGACAGGAAAUCACUCGGCUUUUACCGUUUCCUAAUUAAGCAAAGCAUCUACUCGGUCCAACAGCUAGUGAUCAGAUCAAGGGAUCUAAGUCAUGCAUCUAUGGUUCCAAACAACUCCUAUACGUAAAUGCACAAGCGUGUUAAAGAAGGCAUGCGCAAGUUUGGUAAAACACAGGGGGUUCAUGCAUCCGGGGCUUGCGUUCGAGCAAGGAGGAGGGAAACUGCUCGUCUGCUUGGGCGGCUUCGGCUUCUGGAGGUAGGAGCUCGGCUACACCUUCGUCUUCUGGCGCCGGGUGCAGCUCGUAGAAGCCGUCGGCGAGACGCAGCUCUACACGAAUGCAAUGCAUUGGUUAGCAUUUAGACGGUUAUUUUCAACAGCAACACUUGCAAGUUUGAGCCCAGAAACUUGCGGCAAGUUACAGGAGGGUGGGGAGGUUCGAUUGAGUUGGUGGAGAUCAAGAUAUAAGGGUCGGAUGGGGAGGAACUUAUGAUCUGACCCUUAAUCUAGAGGAAUAGAUGUGCUAGGGGUCCUCAGACGUAACGCUGAAAAGUCCCCAACUGUUACACAUACACCCUCGAUUCAAGGAAAAAGAUACAGCCGAGCCCUCGGGCGAGGCGGAGAAAGGUCGGCGGAACAGACAUGGUCGGGCGAGACGGAACCGGGGUUGGGCGGAUAGGAGGGAUCGGACGAGGGGAACAAAGGGUCGGUAGCUUACCUUCGUCUUACAGAUAAGGCUUGGGGUCGGGAAAGAACAGGCUUGAGCGGAAAGACUAAGACUUGGGACAACGGCGAGGAUGUCCGGUGGUACUCCGACGGUGGCGGUGCUUCUUGUGGAUCACAAGCAAACUCUUGUGCAGCACGGGGAGCAGUGGCUGGGGAUUGGGGGAAGGUGGUGUUUGAGCGGAGAGGAGAGUUCCUCAGACUUAGGCGGUGGCGCUGUGAGCACAAACAGGGAGCAAACGGGAGGGCAGCGAUGGCAAAGGGGAACUCCGGCGGGGCUCCGGCAUUCCAUUUUAUAGCUGCGCGGAAGAGAGAAGGGGGAGCGGCGCGAAGGCCGGGAAGAGGCGAUGGAGUGCUCUGCCGGGGCGGCGAUUGAGUGACGAGAGCGGUGGAGCAGGACUUCGGGGAUGGCACCGGCGGUCAUUGGGCACCGAUGUCAGGGCGGCGCAGGCGCGGGUUUGCCGGUGGUUGAGAUUUGGCGGAGGUGGGCGUCGUCGUGCGGUGGAUCUGAUGGAAGUGACCGGGGAAACGGCGCUAGAAACGAGGGCGCACAGGUGAGAAGAUAGGCGGCUGCGGUCGCACGGGCGAGCGUGGAGCAACAGAUUGUCGGGGCGGAGCUUCUGACAAGGCAGAAAAGGAGCUGUCACUGCCGCGGUCUGGGUUGGCAGAGAAGGAAUCGUCGCGUAGCGAGGACCGGGGCGGCGCGACUGUGGAGGGGUGACGGAAAAGACGGGCGGCAUCGGGCUCUGCGGCUGGGAUCUGGCGAUGUGAUGAUGGGCGUGGGCGGCGAGGUGCUGCAGAAAGGGUAGCAGAGGAGCUUCCGCUGCGAUUGGGGGAAGGGGGCGCGAGAAUCCAUCCGGUCGUGGCCGGCGACGAGGCGGAGCGGCGGGCGUCGGAGGAGUUGAGCCACGCGGCUAGGGAACUCUGAAGCGGGCAUGCAACUCAAGUGCGCCUGUCGCGGGAGAUCCGGGAGAAAGAACCGGUCAGUCUCGGUGGUCCACGGCUCAAAUUGAAGGGAGGCGUUGUGGGAAGACUUAGAAAGAUCCGACGGUGGGUAGAGGGUCGGCGGGGUCGGAACUGGGGGAAACUCGGCGAGGGGUCGGACCACAGGGGGUCGGGAGAUCUGGAGGUUGAGCACUUAGGCUUGAUAAACUGAGGCAGGUGAUCAUGGACUCGGAUUAAGAUUAACGCGAAGGAUUUUAAUCGAGGUCGUUACACUGCCGCCACCGCUGAAUGGGCUAUGUGUUAGUCUUGCGUUGUCUCUUUUUAAUUCUUUAUUUGCUUAUCAGUACUCAGAUGUUGAAUGUUCAGAACUUGUAAUAAGAUGACUAUUAUGUGAUGUAGAAAAUUUAGCUUGCAAGACUAUUCUUUUUGUUGACUGAGAUGAUCUUAUCAUUAUAUAUUGCUCGAUAUCGUGUGAUCAUGUUGAUAUAUUAUAUAUUGCACCCGCGGGUGACGCAAAACGCGAGGACGACCUGUAGGUGUGGGUGCGGGUGUGGCAUUUCACAUGCGGGUCUAUCCGAGGGCGGGUGUGACCAAGUGUGGCGGGUGUUGUUGAGUCCAGGAAUGAAGAACUGAUAUUUGGUUCAUCUUUUUCUUUUUAAUCUGAAAUUAAAAAUUGUAAUUCAUUUUUAUCCCUCACAAGAACUCCAACUUUAAUGAUUUUUCCCUAAUUUCUUCUAAAAUCAUAGUCUUUCAUUUAAUGGUAUUUGUUUGUAUGUCAAUCCUAUUUCUUAGAUAUUUUAAAUAUGGCUUGUUUCUUCCACCAAAUAGAGAACAUAAAAAAAAUGUUUUUGCAUAGCAAUUAUUAAUGUAACUUCAUAUUUUCUAAUACUAACAUAAAUAUAAGGUUGUGUUUAAAUUUGAGGUGCAUACGAGUUCAAAAAUAUUCUAAUGUGUACAAAUUACAAUGUAUUAACUUGAGUUAUAUGAAACUAUGUGGGAGAUGUAUCCAAUUGUGAACAAUGUGUAGUCCCACUUUCAUAAAAUCAUUUGAAACUUUUAUGACAAGCUUAUAGACCCAAAAUACGUUGUCAGAUCGAUUUUUAUAAUUUCCUGAUUAAGUUUAAAUAUUAUUACAAUUAUUUUGUUCCAAUUGUGAGAUGGAAGGUUGAAUUAUACCUAGCAAACAAAUGAAUUCUCCGUGUAUCUCUAGGAUAUGGGUUAUAAAGGAACAUAUGGGUUUAAAUAUAUAUUUUAUGCAAUUUUUCCGAGAUUAUUCGAGGUACACAUAGUUCAAUUUGGAAUUACUGUAAUAAUUCAUUUAAACUAUAGAAAAUAGCAGACCAGUUCAAAAGUUACUGAAACUCAUACAGGACAACUUAAAUGUAGUAUAUUAAUUUUUCAAAAUAUAUUGAGGUAUUCAAAAUAUAUUGUUUUGCAAGUUUCUUCACAAGGGUGCUUUAAAAUGGAAAAAGAAAAAAACAUUAAACAGUGAAGUCUCCUGCAAUAGACCCAAUUUCAGCCCAAUUGAAUGGUUCGGCCCAUGAAAACGCACUGCUUUUAGCCGUUGGAUCUACUGAACGGCUGAGAUGAAGCGUGCUUCAAAUAAAUACCUGACCUGCCCAAACCCUACCCUGCAUCCCCGCCGCUCUCUUCCUCCAAUCCUCCUCACCUCUCUCUCCCUUCCCUCACCCCUCCGCAGAUUCACCAGCCGCACCCCUCUCCCAUGUCGGUGCUACGGCCACGGGCGGUGCCUCCUUUGCCUGGUGGAGUUGCCCCCUGGAGCUCCCUCUUCGUGUCGUGUGCACCCCUCGUACCCGGCCUUCGCCUCCACCUCUGGCCACACCCCCCUCGUCGCCUCCACCGCCCCCUCCCUGGCGGGCCCAAUCCACCUGCUUACCCGCGAUGCCCUCCUUUCCUCCCCCACACCCUCCUUGCCUCUGCUGCAAUCUUGCUCGCCUUUCCCACCCUAGAGCCACUGUGGCAGCGCGGAGCCACGGCCGAGGCGCACACAGGUGUUGGCUGGCGACAGAUCUGGCCGCGGCAUGUCUAGAUCCGGCUGCCACGAACCUAGAUCCGUGGGCACGGGCUCACUGCCAGGCUACUCGGUGAGGCACCCUGGUCCCCGCCUCCCUGGAGCAACAAUGGCAGCAGCGAGCUAGGUUGGCAUCGGGCCCUACAGGGAAUAGCUGUGCGGCCGUUCCGGAUCGGGUUCCGGAGGAAGGAGGAAGUAGAGGAGGCGGGGCGAACGACGAGGAGGAGCCGUGUGUCAGCCAUACACGUGUGUCGGUCAUACACCUAUGGGCCCACCGGGAGGCGUGGACAGUCUUAUAAUACUGAGUUGUACACCAAGAUGUAUCAGAUAUGGAGGCUACGAUGCAGGAUGGCGUGGUCUACAUGAUGGACAAGGACUAGUCAAAGAUUAGAAAACUACUCGCAGCAAGUAGAGUAGGACUUUCUGGUCGAAUCCGACUAGUACUCUUAUACAACAACCGACCUGUAACCCUGCCGCCGGCAAUAUAAGGCGAAAGAUAAGGACCCCCUUCAAACAUCUCAUCAAUCAAUACAAUCCAACCAACACACAAAACGUAGGAUAUUACUUGACAUAAGCAGUCUGAUCCUAUCUAAAUCGUGUGUUCGAGUUCAUCUUUGAGUUUAGUUCUCAUUGUCUUGCACACUGUUUGGUCGAUCUAAUCAGAACUCUCUUGCCUAUUUUGUUUAUAUUCAACAUCUACUUGUUAGCUUUCCUGAUUACUGUAACUUACUGUUUUGUUUGGUUUCAGUUACUGAACAGUAACUUCAAGCUGUUCUUCUAAACUUCAUUUCUUGCUGGGUUCAAUUCUGAAAAUCUUGUUACUUCUGAACAUCUCAGGUUUUGUGUAGUUAGAGAAACUUACUCUGAUGUUAGCAGUUUCGAUUCAUUGUAAUGUGCCAAUCUGAAAGUUUGCUAUGUAUGAAAUUGUUCAGGUUCUGGCAGUUUGAGAAAAUCACUCUGAUCAUAUCAGUAACCUAUUCUGAUUACUGCUUGGCAGUUGUUAUUGGUUCUGUAACAUGUAUGCUUGUUAGCCUUUCAGGUAGUUAGUUUUGGAUUUAUUAACAACUAUAACAAUUUGUUGCUUGUGCAAGCAUCUAGUCUAUUCCAGGGUACAUCUAGUAUGGUUUGAUUCAGCUUUCCUUUCAUUAUUUUGCGUCUGUUAGCAUGUAUCCACAAAAAGAAAUCAGAGUGCUUCCUGUUGUCAUGAUUUCUACGCUAGCUGAACUGAAACACUGUCCAUGCCUAGUAGUUCGGAAGCAAAUGUGACUGAUAAGUUGUCUCUCUUCUUUCAGGUAGCAUCGAGCCAUUGAGGAUGCAACCUUCUGUUUCUUUUGCGAGGUAAAAGGUUGUCCUGCAGCUCUGGAGGACAUUGUAAAUACAACUACACUACCAGCUAAUCGUUUUCUUUUGCUGUUUUUCUUCUUUUGUUGGUUCAACCAAGCAAGGAGGGAGGUGAGGGACCAAGGACAAUGGCCAAAAAGAUGGUACACCUAGCGCCCAUAAGAUCUGUUCAUGUCCAUAAAAAAAAAUUCUUCUGUUUGCCUUAGGAAAUCUCUAUUUAUGCUCAUAAGAACAUGUCACGCUCAUGCAAUUUGUGGACUUAAACUGAUUACUGCUAGUUGGAAUAAGUGGAGGAUAUUAGAUUCUAGCUUGUUUGUAGUUAAGGAAAUAAUUGGUUGGUGCCAUGAUUGCAAUCAAAAUAGCACAAAACGAAUAAUAUUUGACCAUUACCUAAGCAAGAGUACUAUAUAUAUUUAUGCUGAUGCAUAUUUUUAUUUUGGUUGCAGAUUAACGAGAAGGCUCAACUAGUGGAUCCAAGAUGAAAAUGUGAAUGUAACCAGCUACUUUGACGUGCUUCUGAAUGUAACUAGAGAUAUUGAAUCUAAUAUGCUGUAGUUCUGAUAAAUGGGCUGAAAAAUUAGUAUGCCUUUUGGGCUGAAAUGGUCGUUCUGAUGAAUGGGCUGUUUGAUUGGGUUGAAAUUUGAUGGAUUGAUUGUUUUUUGAGUGGGUUGAAAUUUGAUGGUUGAAAUGUUUAUGGGCUGGAAUUUUUAUGGACUUAGUACAGUGGGCCAAAAAGUGGCCUAAUUGUAAAAUGGAUCCAUUAACAAAUAGGACACGAAUGCCAAGUCAUUGUUCACGUCAUCAGCCAUGUUAAUGUCCAUAUCAUCAUCAGUUUCCACAUCACCUGCCAAUCAGUAGCCUAGUCAACGUCCAUGUCACAUAUAGGUGACAUGGCUACUUUAUCCAUAACGAAUAUUAAUCUACGUGGCAACCAUAUGUGAUGUUUAUUUUCGUUGUUGAUAUUGGACUUGGACUGGGCUGCGCGGGCCUAAGGGUGAUGGUUAAGAAACAUCAUAGAUUGUGUUGAUCUGUGACGAUUGCGAAGAAAUGUCAAUCGAUUUAAUCUGUGAUGCUCAAUACAUGACGUUAUCUGAAAUCAUCAUAGACACUGCUUUAUGACGGUUUUUUAGCGAUCCGUGACAAAUUUGUUCCGUCACAGAUUAAAUAGUUUAUUGUAGCGACUGUACCAACAAAUCUUGGGAUUGAUAAAGUCACCAUGAGUGUUUCACCUACCACUACAAAAAUGAUAUCGUUAAUUCUUCCUAAAAUAAAUUCAAAAAUUAAAAUUUAAAAAAUUGUGUACUAUAGUGGCAAGUAGAAAUAUUAUUCAGAAAUGCUAUGCACCGAGCGUCCGACGUGAGCUAAAAAGAUCGGACGUGUGUGCCAUACUGAUUGGGAAAGCAGUCCGAUAGCAUUCAAUAACAAAGCACAGACCCGAAUUUCAUUCCAUUCUAAUUAACUGCAUGCUUCUCGUGUCCAAUGACUAUAUCCUCUUCACCUGCUACUACCACCGCCCCUUCCUCUUCCAUCAGAUUUUCUGGUGCUCUGUGCUGAACCUAUUGUUCCUCUCCACCAAGUGCUCUCUCUCUCUCUCCCUCCUCUCCCCCCCCUCUCUCUCUCUGCACUCCUGCAGGCUGCUCCUCCACUCCAGGUAGAUCCAUAUGACUCUACCUCUCUCCAUAAGUUGACUAGGGAAUCUUGAUCUGCCAUGAAUGGAGCUUGGAAGCUCCAUCACGGUUGAGUAGCAACUCAAUCAGACAAGAAGAACAUCAUUUUGGGCACCUGGGCAGUUGAUACUUUGAGCUUGAAAGGUGGAGAGGUCAAUUUAAGCACCUAGACCCGCAAGCUCGGAUGUGUUUUAGGCAAGUAAAUCAGAUGUCGCAACAACCUAUUUGAGGUUGUUGCAGGUGUUUGUUUAGUUUAUUCCUGCUCUAUUCUUCUUUUGUUGGGGAUUUGUUCUCAAUUCCAUCUAUGUGUUCCAAGAUAUUGCAGGUAUUAUAUCUUAACGUCACAAUAUAAAUUUUUGUUUGUAAUAUGUUUGUAACAUUAUUGUAAUGAAAUUUCCACGGUGGUGAAUGUUGCAUUAGUUGAUUUGAGAUGUCACAUGAUUUUGGAUGUUCCAAUAUUUUUUAUUUGGGUCGUUGCAAUAGGUGAGUUAGGAUGUUGCAAUGGUUGAUUAUGGAUGUUGCCGCUUUUGAAGUUAAUUUGGGAAGGUGCUUAGGAUGUUGCCGCUUUUGAAGUUAAUUUGGGAAGGUGCUUAGGGGAGAAUGGAAAUACUGGUGAUUUUGUGGUGAUGUGAGAAAUGUUUAAUGGCAUUUUUGCUCCUUGGUAUGUUGGGUGGAGUAGCCAGAGGUUCAAAGCUGGACUUGAGCUUGAGCUGCCAGACAAUGAAGAUGCAAAAAAGGAAAGAAAUCGAUCAAAUGUUGCAUGCAACGUGAGCCGAUGUUUCAGUUGGAAUUUUUUCUGAUUUUGAUUCGACGGUUGUAGCAGCGUCCGAUGGAGCACCCGGACAUCGGACGUCCGGGCGCUAGCAGCUCCGAAUAUUAUUUGCAACCCAAGUGGCAAGAACACCUUCAAGGAUUGACCCUCUUCUUUUCUAAUUAUUAGAGAAAAUUAUUAGGUGCUCCAGUCGUGGGUUGAAUUCUUCCUUCCAUGCACUCAAAAUAUAUAUAUUCCUUACUCUUUUUUUUACCAAACUCAACCUGUUCUUUUGUAUUUUUCUAUUCCAAACCCGUUUAAUUUGCCUACAAACCCACUGAUUAUCAGACGUUUCGUUGAAGACCGGUCGCCUAGUUGCUCCCAUUGGCAAAUGCUAGCUCAAGACAUAACACAACUUUUCUCGAUGGUUGAGAGGGUCCUAAUAAAAGCAGAAAGUGUAUCAUAAACAAUUAACUUGAAAAACAAACACACACUUUAAUAUAUUCUUCACACUCAUUGCGGAAGUGCCUAUUAAAAUCGAACCUUCACUUGUUAUUGUUACGAAGGUUUAGGUUGGUUCUCAUUAUUGGCACAAACUCAUGAUAGUCGAGAGGGAGGUACGGUGGUAAAUCCACUUGUUAUUGUUACCGAGGCUUAGUUUGCAUCUCAUUAUUUGCUUUCAAAUGAUUAUCAACCAACAUGAUAGAAGUUUUAGAUAUAAACUAAAAGUUAACCUAGGCGCCUUAUAUUAUUUAAUACUUCAUCCGUUCCAAAUUGUAGGUUAUUUUAGUUUUUUUAGUUCAUAGAUAUUAUUAUGCAUUUAGAUGUAUGUUUAGAUGCAUAUAUAAUAAUAUGUAUGAACUUAGAAAAGCUAAAAUGAUCUACACUUGGAACGGAGGGAGUAUUAAACUUGUGGUGCCUCAUGCUCGUCCUUGCUUUGCCCGUCAGCCUUGUGGCACCGUGGACUGAUUGCCAUCUGGGAGCAGUUUUGGCCUUGGACAACGCGCAGACCUUCUCGAGAUCACUGUGAUCUUUUUUUUAUUGGCGUUCGUUGUUUGCAUCAUAUUGCAAAAGAGGCCGCGGUGCGGAUUUCAUGCGUGUGAUCAUGACUAUCGGUGACAGAAGCUGAGCACAUUGCCGUGCGAAGUUGGAUCGUGGGCUUUUGGAAAGAAGAUUAAAGGACGUGAGGGAGGAAGGCGCGCGGAAGAUAGACGAUCCAACAUUGUUUGUUUUUAUUAUUAGAUAUAUAGAGGUAUAAAAUUAACAUUGUUUGUUUUAUUAUUAGAUUAUAAUAUAGAGGUAUAAAACAAGAACUAAUACAUAAAAGCAUGUGCUAAAAAGGAAAAUUACAGUCACUUUUGAUCAAGCCUUCUUCUCCAACUAUUUCCUUCUUAAAGCAAGUAUUUAAAGCUUGUCCUUCCGAGUGUCAAUAGCGUCAUGACCGAUAGAUUAGCGAUUAGCGUUCACUCCAGGCAGUUGCGGCAGUCAUGUUGCUUACCAUCCCUCUUAACGAUGAGAACAUGCAGAGGGCUCCCGUCGAAUAUGGUCGUGCCGAGGAGCCGGAACGCGCGCUGCUUGAAUGCCCAGAUCUCGACGACGUCGUGCUCCUUGAAGCUGCACCGCCGGACGUAGUCCAUGUACCCUCCGCCCUUGACGAUCGUGCCAUGGCUGCUCGACCACCGGGACAGCAGCAGCUCCCCGCUGGCGCCGGCGGCAAGGUCCACCAGCUUCACGGGCAGGCCGCCGUGCACCUUCCCCCUCCUCUUCCUCUUCUUCUUCCCCUCUUGGUCCGCGGUGGCGUCACCGUUCUCAAGCUCGGGCUCGGGCUGCUGCUUCGGCAGCGACGCUGGAUCGUAGAGCAGGUUGGCGGAGUCGAGCUCGUCGACAGUCAGGAUCGGGCGGAGGCGGCGCAGGGCGCCGUCGGACGGGAUGCGGAACCGGUUCUGGUGCGCGUCGAGGUCGGUGUCCGUCACGCGCUUCUCGUGGAUGAAGUGCACGGGCAGGUCCUCCCGGAGCCCGAGCUCCCGGAGUACAUGAUUGCGCAGGCACGGCGGCUCCUCUCGGUUGAUGGGCACCGGCGGCGCCUGCCAAAGCCGGGGCGCAAUGGCGUUCAGGGGGACGGCGUUUAUGGGCUCCACGUCCGCGGGCAUGGCCGCGUCGUGCGGGACCAAAACGCCGGCGCCCGCCGACGGCCGUGCCCGCUUGGCGUCACGCUGCUGCGCGGCGGCGGGAUCGUAGACGACCAGUGCUAGAGUCCUCUUGCCCAUCUUCUUCGUCGGAACAGAGAUCGCAGAGUAAUCUUUAGUGGACGUCGUCGACGAAUUGAGAUCGAAUGUCUGGGGGCAUGGAGAGCCAAGCCCCUUCUAUUUAUACAGCUUGGCGGCGCCAUUCGACACCGAGUCGAACUCGCAGUCCGGCCUCAGCGCGGCGCACGUGGCCGUCGGCGGAGGCAACAGCUGUCGCAGUAGUUCGUGUCGGAAAUGGUUAAGGCGCCAUCCGUGUCCGAUGCAUUUGUUUGAGAGAAAUCCGAGCUCAGUUCUGCUUCGUUUUGGAGGAAUUCCGUGUCCGAUACUGACACGAAAAGACUACGGUGGCGAGGAUGGAAAUGGAUUCGCAUCGUGAAUGUUGCUUCCUAGUCUCGUCACUCUUAUUAUGUUCUCAAUUUGUGAGUUUGAUGGCCACUAGCUCCUAUCCUUCGUUUCCUACUCACUAACCAUCCGUGCGUGCAUGAUUGCAUAGACAAGUGGCUUGUUUAGUCGGUUGGUUCGGGUUCAUAAUUUUUUUAUGACGUGGCCUACUGACAAGGCUUCAUAGUGUUGAAGGAGAGAUAGUGGGAAUUUCGAUCUACACUAAUGUUCUCCGACGGGAGCAGGGUUUUCCUUUUUCGGUAAUUUUUUUGUUGCGCCAUUCUCUUUCGAGGAAAACCACAACAAAAAAUUGAAAGGAAAACGUUAUGAACAAAAAUCUAAAAAGUUGUGCGCGAAACAGCAGCAAAAUAGGAAGGGAAAAAGGAAAAAGAAAUUCUUCCGGAUUUGUAAGAAAAUUUUGGAACAAAAUUUUGUGAGAAAAAUUUGACAUUAAACUUUUAGAAAAUGUUUAGAGAAAAAAUUUGAAAAGAGUUUGUGUACAAACUUUUGCAACGAAAUCUCAAAUGUGAGAAAACUUUUGAAAAAAAGCUUUGUGAGAAAAAAUAACAUAAAGUUUUGGAAAACUUUCAGAGGCAAAAAGAUAUGAAGCAAAAAGAAUGAGAAAAAAUUGAGUGAAAAAUUUGCGAUGAAAUCUGAAAAAAUAGGAAAAGAGAGAAAAGGAGAAAACUCCGACACACUCCUUGUGCAGCUCCACCGUGAAUGCCUCCCUGCGCUACCCGCAUGGCAAGCUGUAGAGCUCUGUCGCUCCAACGCUCACAGCCCUCCUCCAGUUUCGUAGGAUCCACCGUGGUUGCCUGCUUGCGCCACCCGCAUGGUGAGUCGCCGUGCUUCGCUGCUUGCCGCCCGUAUGGCAAGCCACCGUGCUCCGCUGCUCGCCACCCUCCCGCAGGCCAGCAUGCUGCCUCUCGCCCUCCGCUCCCCGAAUUUGUGAGCUUGGUAGAGCUGCCGCCUCUUGCUAGAUUUGAGAAGGGAUGGGAGGAGGAGAGAGGAUUUGAGGAAAAAUUGAAAUGGAAGGCACGGGAAUGGAAUAGGCGGAGGAGACGAGGGGCACAUUGUGGGGUCGUGGGGGAUGGGUGGCAACUGGCGCCAGACGCGUGGUCGGGGAUCAACCGCCAACCGACCGACUGCAAAAUCAUCAUCACGUUACCAAGCCCCUGUUUUGAUCCAAGAAUAGUGGUAGGGUCCACAAACUCGAACCCUAGGGCCGAGUGGUUCGACCCUGCCACCGUUGACACCAUCCCCUCUCCCAUCCCCACCGCUGACAUUGCCACCAGGAACAACCCACCACGGUGCACGCCCGCCCAAACUCCCUCACCGACCCGCGCUCUCGGCUGAAUUCCCCGAUGCCUUCUCGCCACCUUUAUCUUCCUCUCCUGCCCACCCCGCCUACCCUACACAUUUCGCUUCCCCUCUUCGCCCACCAGUGCAGCCUCCUGUCCAUGCAGUCCUCCAAGGGCGACUCGCUGAACUGGUUGCCACGCCGUACCGGUCGGAGACAUGUGCUCUAAGCUUGAGCUUGAAACGUAACAUUAUGUUUUUUAACAGCAGGGACACGGUUUCUCGAGCAUAAUGCUUCUUUGGGCACACAAAUUUGCUUGAAUCAAACAUGCACCUGUUCCUUUUCAUUUUCCAUGGCUAUAUUGUUUUUUUUGUCAGUUCCUUUGGAUUAGCUGUUGCCUGAUUUGAUUCAUAGCGAUCCUACUCUCUUUUUUCCGUUACUGUCUGCAAUAUAAUUUUUAUCGAUCAUAUAUACGAAAUCACACUGUAACAAUGAGCUUGAGAAUCCUAUUAAAUUUUAUUCUAACACAUUACUCUAAAAUAUCCUCAACAUUCAUUAUGGAAGUGUCAGCCAUAGUGGAAAGCGGAAACCGAUAAAUUUGUUCAAAUUGGUGACAGUCGAGAGCGAGGCAAGUCAAAUUGUCAAGAUUCAGUUUGCAUCUAGGAUUAGUUUCCCUUCAAAUGAUUACCAAUUGGCACGCGAGUUCAAACGGUUUCGUACAAAGAUUUGGUUAAUACGAUUCAUGCCAUUACAAUUUCCACCACUGAGGUACAAAUCCUAAUCGCGUAAUUAAAAUGGCUAACAAAUUUUCACGUAAAGAAACUAUCUAUCUAACCAUGCGUUGAACAGCAACAUGAUCGCGUUCUCUCGGGGCGGGGGCAGUAGCGCUGCUGUUGCUACGUGCCAUCUCUCUCAAGUCUUCUUCACGAUCAAAACGUGCAGAGGGCUCUCGUCGAAUAUGGUCGUGCCGAGGAGCCGGAACGCGCGCUGCUUGAAUGCCCAGAUGUCGACGACGUCGUGCUCCUUGAAGCUGCACCGCCGGAUGUAGUCCAUGUACCCUCCCCCCUUGACGAUCGUGCCAUGGCUGCUCGACCACCGCGACAGCAGCAGCUCCCCGCUUGCGCCGGCGGCGAGGUCCACCAGCUUGACGGGCAGGCCGCCGUGCACCUUCCCCCUCCUCUUCCUCUUCUUCCUCCCCUGCUCCUGCUCCCCCUCUUUGUCCGCGGCGGCGUCGUCUUCCUUGGGCUGCUGCGUCGACUUGGACACUGGAUCUUCGAGCAGGUUGGCGGAGUCGAGCUCGUCGACGGUCAGGAUCGAGCGGAGGCGGCCCAGGGCGCCUUCGGACGGGAUGCGGAACCGGUUCUGCUGCGGGUUGAGGUCGGUGUCCGUCACCCGCUUCCUGUCGAUGAAGUGCACGGGCAGGUCCUCCCGGAGCCCCAGCGCCGGGAGGAUAUGCGUGCGCAGGCACGCGAGCUCCUCCGGGGGGAUAGGGGGCGCCGGCGCCGGCGCGCGCCGCGGCCGGGGCGGCGCCAUCGCGUUCAGGGGAACGGCGUUUAUGGGUUCCGCGCCCGCGGGCUGGACCGCGUCGUACGGGACCACAGCGCCGGCGCCCGCCGCCGGCCGCGCCCGCUUGGCGUCACGCUGCUGCGCGGUGGCGGGGUCGUAGACGACCAUGGCGAGGGUCCUCUUGCCCAUCUUCUUCGUCAGAACAGAGAACGCACGAGGACGAGUUCGUUUCCCUUCUCGUGCGCUUGGAUUGGAGGAAUCUGAAUGCGCGUCGUGGAAUUGAGAUCGAAUGUCUGAGGCAUGGCGAGCCGCGCCCUGUCUGUUUAUACUGCUUGGCCGCGCCAUUCGACACCGAGUCGAACUCGCAGUCCGACCUCCGCGCGUCGUUCGUGGCCGUCGGCGGAGGCAACAGCUGUCGAAGUAGUUCGUAUCGGGAAUGACUGAGGCAUCCGUGUCCGAUGCGUUUUUUGGAAAGAAAUUGAAUCCGAGGCCCAGAUGUGCUUCUUUUCGGAAGAAUUCCGAGCCCGACACUGACACGGAAAAUUUGCGGCGGCGAGGACGUAAUUGGGCCCACUUUUGUGAAUGUUGCUUUCCUAUAGCAGUCUCAUACUCUCAACAGUCUUGUUCUCACACCUAUCCUUCUUUUCCUACUCACUAACCAUUCGUACGUGCAUGAUUGUAUACAGAAGCUACUUGCUUGGCCGGUUAGCUCCUGCUUCUGCUUAUUGUCUUCAAAAUAUAAAGUGUUUUAGUUUUAUCAUAAAUCAAGCUCCUCUAUUUUACUAAUUUUUGAAAAUACACCAACACCUACAAUAUUAAAAUAUGUCUUACCUUCCAUUUAUUUGGGAUAGUAGAUUUUUAAUAUAUUUUCUCUAUAUAAACCUUGGCAAAAUUAAAUAAGUUUGUCCUACGAGAAAAUGAAAACGUAUUAUAUUUACAAACAUAGAGUAUAAAUUUUUAUGACAAUGUGGGUCGAUAAAAUUGUUUGGCUACUGGCUCUAGCUUAUGAUUUUUGACAAUGUAGGUUCAUAAGAGGGUUUGUUUUGCUCGCAAAGAAAAGAUGGUUUGUUUUGUUCUCGAUAUCAAAGGAGAGAUAAGACCAAUUGUUGGAGGAAUCAGUCUCAUCCCCUGACCUCAAAGGAUCACUCAAAUAGAAGGCCACAUGACAAGGGCUAUAGCUAGGGUAGUCAACGACAGUGUAAGUCUUUAAGACUUCCAAUGAAAGAGUCAGACUCAUGAAGGUUGACCAAGGGUCCACGAGACCAUGGAACUCACAAGAAGAGUACCUAUAGGCCAUAGGGGGCUACCAAUCCCCUAAGGGGACCAAGGGAGAUACGAACAAUUCGCAGAAGAAAUACCAGAAGUGCAGUGAUCCGUGUGUAAAGGUCCAAAUCCUCAAUGGGAUGGAAGAAUCCCGAGAUUCUCACUAAUAACAAUAGGGAAGUGCUAGCGCCGGACGUCCGAUAAUUUUGUUUUAUCGGACGCUCCGUCGCAACAUUAAAAAAUAACUAUCGAAACAUCAAAAAUUAACACUUGCAACACCGAGGAUUGCAAACACCUUUAUGUGCAUGAAACAUCCCGAAUUGCUUCGUGCAACAUUCAAAACAGACACAUUGCAACAACAAAAAAACAUAUCUUACAACAUUGCAACAACGAAAGAAGAAGAGACGAAAUAAAGAAAACAACUAUAUGCAACAUCAUGAACAAGUCGGUGCAACACCCGAUUGCUGGCAAGGCAGACUGUUGCAAAAUAGAUGAAACAUCAAAAGCCACCGUUGCAACAUCCAAAAAUAACUAUUGCAACACCAUGAGGUACCUAUUGCAACACUCAGAUCCACGACAACCAGCUUGCCGCCGAAGGUCGUCCACCAUGGCUGCCGCCCGAUCCUUCCCCGCUCGGAUCUCGCUGGGGUCGGGGAGAAGGCCACCAGAUCCGGGGCGUUGGGUGCUCCCGGUUGGUUGAGGACGCCGGAGUGGGGGGAGGGGCGCCGCCAGGGUGGGGGACGAGGUUCCCGGAGUGGAGGAGCGCGCCACCGCCGGGGUGGACGAGGAGGACGCCGUGGUGGGGGAGCAGCCGCCGUUGGGGUGGGGGACGAGGCCACCGGGGUGCGGGACAAGCCUGCCAGGGUUUGGGAGCAUGCCGCCGCCGGGAACCUCUGGAUAGAAGGUUGAAGAAGAAAAGGGAUGGGGAAGAAAAAAAACGGUAGCGCUUGCAACAUCCAAGAAUCCCUACUACAACCUCGUGAGAUACCUAUUGCAACAUGGCCGCCGCCCGAUCCUUCCCUGCUCGGAUCUCGCCAGGGUCGGGGAGAGGGCCACCGGAUCCGGGGGCGUUGGGCGCCCUCGAUGGGUGAGGACGCCGGAGUGGGGGAGGGGUGCCGCCGGGGUGGGCGAGGAGGACGUCGGGGUGGGGGAGCGCGCCGCCACCUGGGUGGGUGAGGAGGAUGCCGGAGUAGGGGAACGGGUAGGGGACAAGGCCGCCGGGUGGGGGAGCGCGCCGCCACCGGGGUGGACGAGGAGGACGCCGGGGUGGAAGGUUGAAGAAGAAAGGUCACGGGAGUGGGAUGGGGAAGAAAAAAAAUGGUGGAAAUGGAUAGAUAGGAAGCGCCAAAUAUGUUUGGAGCGGAACGUCCGACGCGUCCGGAUGCUCGUACUGUAGCAUUACCGAUAACAAUAUCACUCGAUGCUCCUGUAAACCUUAGAAUCAGAGUGUUGUUAGUUAUUCAUUCAUUCCUCCAUGUGACAAAAAAAAACUAACAUGGGACUCUUAUAUAUAGGUAGCUAAGUUGGUACUAUUUCACGUCCCUUAAAUUUUUGUAGAACAAGAUUAAUCAAUAUUAUCCUGAGCUAGUUUUUCAAUUUCUUGGAUUGAUUAUUUUUAAUUCUACUCUCUUUUUUUUUCCCAAAACAUAGUGUACACACAUCACUCACCAUAAACACCCUUGCCCUGUAUGAGAACCAUCUCCGAGAGAUUUGCCAUCAGAUCUUAAGUGAAGUCAGUAAGUCACCAUAAAUGUCUUACUUAUUACUUACCACUUGAGGAAUAAUUAGAAAAACAAUAUGAACAUUCCUACUAGGUCGGAGCCUUGGAGACUCUCCAAUAAAUAGGUUUUACGGUCAAUUUGCUCUUUUCCUACCAUGUAACUUUCUACUAUCAUCGUGAGGCAGAGAAUCUCUCUCUCAUCAGAAAAAAAAUAACCUAAUUCUACCACGCACAAUGGCACAAAUAAUCGAAUCCGAACCUACGUGUUUAUGAAAGAUUAUCGACUGCGUAGUAGUAUAUGUGGGGGGCGGUCAGAACGAUUAGAGGUCACAGGAAAAAUAUAUAUGGCCGUGACUAAAUGGGCCAAGCCCAACAACGAAUCAGCAACGCCAAACAAAUCAACCCGCAACAAACCAUUACAAUACAGUAUCCAGUGGACAGCAAAGCAAGUAUAUUUUCAAAGCACAAUUCAAUGGACAGAAAUUCGGUGUAUGAACAAAAAAAAUGCUCAGGCAUAUAGCUUUUGCCAUGUUAAACGAUACUUACAUAGUUCGAUGCUAACAAUGCCUACUAGCCGCUAGCGUACAUUCAAAUAACGAAAUAAAUAAAUAAAUAAUUUUCACAUACAGAAACUACUCCUAGGCAUGUUCUUCCAAUUUGUCUAACAGCGCCUUGAGGGGCCGAUUCCCGUUCACUCCGGGCGGGACUGCUGCUGCGUGCCAUCACUCUUAGCCUUAACGAUGAGAAGAUGCAGGUCGCUCUCGUCGAACAUUUUCUUGCCGAAGAGCCGGAACUCGCGCUGCUUGAAGGCCCAGAUGUCGACGACGUCCUGCUCCUUGAAGCUGCACCGCCGGACGAAGUCCAUGUACCCUUCCCCCUUGACGAUCGUGCCGCUGCUGCUCUCCCACCUCGACAGCAGCAGCUCCCCGCUGGCGCCGGCGGCGAGGUCCACCAGCCUCACGGGCAGCCCGCCGUGCACCUUCCCCUUCCUCUUCUUCCUCUGCUCCUGAAGCUCACCCUCGACGCUUUGCAGCAGCGGCACCGGCUCGGGUUGCCGCCUCGUCUUCGGGGCCGGGUCGUGGAGCAGGUUGGCGGAGUCGAGCUCGCCGGGGGUCAGGAUCGGGCGGAGGCGGCGCAGGACGCCGUCGGACGGGACGCGGAAGCGGUUCUGGUGCGCGUCGAGGUCGGUGCCCGUCACCCGCUUCCUGUCGAUGAAGUGCACCGGCAGGUCCUCCCGGAGCCCCAGCGCCGGGAGGAUAUGCGUGCGCAGGCGCGCGGGCUCCUCCGGGUGGAUGGCGGCGGGCGCCGGCGCCUGCCGCAGCCAGGGAGGAGCAAUGGAGUUCAGGGGAACGGCGCUUAUGGGCUCCACGUCGUGCGGGACGACAGCGCCGGGGUCUGCCGACGGCCGCGCCGGCUUGGCGGCGCCCUGUUGGGAUGUGGCAGCGGCGGCGGCGGGUUCGUAGACGACCAUGGCGAGAGUCCUCUUGCCCAUCUUCUUCGUCGGAAACAGAGGACGCGCGGAAGGCGAGCAGUUGGUUUUCCUUCUUCCGCCCUUUGCAGCGAUCGAUCUGAAUGCACGUCGAUCGGCGAAUUGAGAUCGAAUGUCUGAAGCAUGGAGAGCCGCGGGUUCAGUUUAUAGCUCUCGACGGCGCCGCCUGACACCGAGUCGAACUCGAAGUCCGACGGGAGCUGCGUGCGUGGCCACCGAUGGAGGCAACAGCUAUCGAGCGGAGUAGUCAGCUACCGUCUCGGCAAAGGCUAGGGCAUCCGAGUCCGAUGCAUUUUUUGGAGUAGUCACCAACGAUUCGUACGUGCGAUCCGUGCAAACUGAAGCUGCUUGCUGCUGGCUGGCUCCACCACUGCUUGGUCUGGAAGCGUCGACCGGAGCACAAAUGUUGAAGGAUGCCGUGAGGUGCAAAAAUAAGGUGAAGAGGCAAGAAGCAAACGAGCGAAGUUUAGCAGAUUCAACGGAAGGAAAAGCUCGAGCUCAAUAAGGAGGUAUUCGAGGGUAUCGGUUCGGCUUCGGCGGAGCUUGAGCUUACGUACACGACUUCAUGUUUAUAAAAUUGACCAAGCUAAGUUCCUGUGAAAUGAUGAUAUUGCUAUACAUUACACAGCCUGAGCUCAAGCCUUGCUCCAUGUUUUUUUUUCGAAACGAGGAGAGCUGCCAAUUAUAUUAAAAAGAAGAUGAUCUAGACUGGACAGAUACAAAGCACCAAGCGAUGCAAAAGUUCAAGAAAAAAAAGUAUACAAACGUAUAAGGUCCGAAGCGCGGAAAGAAUUAACAAUGGGCGAUUAAAAUAGAAAGGUGUUUUGCUCCGGCCAUAGUCCACAUCGCAGUCUCAUCUUUAACUUUGUGGAACAUCAUAUUAGUUGUAGAUUCCUUGCGCUCAAAAAUUCUCGAAUUUCUCUCUCUCCAAAUAAUCCAUGAAACAAGCAUGAUUAUGGGCCUUGCUCCAUGUUUUGAUUCCAACCUAGAAUUGCUUUGAAUUCCAACCAAGUGCAUGCGUGGUUCUCAGGCCUGGUUUGGUUUCUUUGCUUAUUUUAGCACCUGUUUAGAUACUAAUUAGAAGUAUUAAACGUAGACUAUUUACAAAACCCAUUACAUAAGCGGAGGCUAAACGGCGAGACGAAUCUAUUAAGACUAAUUAGUCCAUGAUUUGACAAUAUGUUGCUACAGUAAAUAUUUGCUAAUGAUGAAUUAAUUAGGCUUAAUUAAGCUUAAUAGAUUCGUCUCGCCGUUUAGCCUCCACUUAUGUAAUGAGUUUUGAAAAUAGACUACGUUUAAUACUCCUAAUUAGUAUCUAAACAUUCGAUGUGACACGUACUAAAAAUAAGCAAAAGUAACCAAACGGACCCUCAGUCCUUCCUUCCCCUCGGAGUCAUGAGAAAUAUUAACUCCCACAAAAACUGGAGUAUUGUUCGAAAUUCAAAUCAUCUAACCUAAUAACAAGGCUUGGCAAGAAUUUUUUUUUCCUUAAACCAUCUAUACUUAGACGUGGGAUGAAACCACUAUAAUUGCAAAAAGGGCUACUUUCAAACAGGAAAUUAUUUGCACGAAAACUCACUGAAGCCACUGACCAACUUCUAUUCUUCGUUCUUCUAACUUUUAAUACCACUCCCUCCAUUUUAAAAAAUAUGAUGUUUAGGACAAGCCAGUUAGCUGAAAAACAGAGGGAGUAGUAUUUAAGCUAAUACUCUAUAUUGCUAAGUUCCUUAUAAACUACUCCCUCCGUUCUUAAAUAUAUGACGCCGUUGACUUUUUACUCCAACUUUGACCACCAAUAUACGAGUUAGUUAACUAAAGUAAAAUAUGUAUCAUUAUGUCUAUUGUCAAAUAUACUUUAGAUUUAAGUUGUAGGUUUAUCUAUUUGCAAAAAUAUUUGUAGAAAAGACGAAUAGUCAAACAAAUGAAAAAAGUCAACGACGUCAUAUACUUAAGAACGGAGGGAGUAAUAACGAGGUAUUUUAUUGCAAAGGAAGUUUUCCAUGAAAUCGUGCAAGCAUACCAUUUCGCACAGAACUUGCAAAUAUGUGUACAAAAUAUCUAAUUGAGCUUUAAAGCCGCAUCAUUCUGUUGGAUCUCUUCCUCAAAUCUGUUGAGUCUUGGCUGAAACAACCGCAAUAUGUACAAACAGCUCUACAACUAAAUCUCACUUUCUGGGAACUAGCCACUGUAUAUUACAUAACUAUGCUUGCACUUGUCAUACCUUCUGUUCAUGUCCUAUGAAGUAUGGAUACACAAGGAGUAUUGCUCACAAGUCCGUGACAUCAAAAGCUGGGCAAAAGGAAUCUAGCCGAAGCACAGAAUGUUGUCAUUGACCUGUUCAUCAAUUGAAACGUCAAAGCUUUUAUUAAACUGUAAAUAGCAAACUAUCCAUCUACUCCCUCUGUUCUUUUAUAUACGAUGUUGAUUACCUCAACUUUGAACUAACCAGAAUCGUAUAUAAAAGAACGGCAGGAGUAAUACAGAAGAAUAUCAAGAAGCUAAGGACAUAUUAGUUGUUCUCUUUCGUUUUUUCCAAAGUAUCAUUAUGUAUUUUUUUCUAUGACAACUAUCCAUCGAAGUUACUAAUAAUAAUGUGAUGUGCUUUGUGCUUAUCAAUUUUGGCAGUAACCUACAGCUACUGCAAGCAUAUUAGGGAAUCUCAUGGCAAAAUCUCUGCAAGCAUAUUUCUUACACACUAACAUCAUGCAUUGAUCCUAGUUAAAAUGCAGAAAAGAUGCAGAAAAAUAAAUGUGAAAGGAUUCUGCAGUGCAGUAAUUGCUAACUAAGUUUAAAGCAAUGUAGUGUUAAUGAUCUAUCACUGUUUUACUUCAAAAAAGGGCACCAGUUUUGGCAAGGAAGAAAAAUUGCUCUUAAUUUUUUAGGGAAAAAAUCUUAUAUGCCACUAGGAGUUAGGACAAAAAAAGUACUUUGUCAGAUUACUUAUAUGCUCUUAUUAAAAUACAAUUCAAACAGUUCAUGGAUUCCUGGAGCUUUCCUUUCCUCUCAGUUUACCACAAGUUGGGUGUUACACAAAAAGUAAAAAGUGUGAAACAGAACCUAAUUAAAACAAAAUGGAAACAUGAAGCACUAUCAGAUUUUAUAGUAUGUUCUUACCAGUCCAACAUAUCCUGCUUCAGUAGCUCAUACAGUCACUCUUGGCUCUGGAAUGGAUCGCUUGAACUUACCUCAUUCUUUGCAAACUGUCAUAAAUCAAUGGUCAGAUUCAGCAAAAGCAGAAAAAAGAAAAAUGUUUCAAGAGUCUAUCCAGGUUAUUGGGGAGAAACAAACCGUUGCUGUUGUUAUUGUCGCCAUUGUAACAGGUUGACUAGAUGGCAAGACAAAGUUGCUCCAAAAAAGUGGGUCAGCAGAAGGAUCAGCUGGGCUCCAGGUACUCUUCAUUGGUGUAGGCAUGACAGGGGCCAUUGAGUAAGUAGCUCUUUGCACUAGCAGCUCAUUCAUGUUAAUAUUAACUGCCGCUGUAUCAUGUCCAGUAGCAGGUACCGAGCCAACAGCCUUUCCUUCAACAAUUUCUUUACUGAGUGUACAUUCUUCAGAUGAUUUUGUAGACUUCUCCAAGAAGCUUUUGAAGGCAUCAGACUGAGAUAAUAUAUUACAUGCUGAUAAGCCCAUUGAAGAGGGCUUUGAAGGAGAACAGAGACCAAGAGAAGGCAACUUAUACGGUUCAGUCUGUUGCAUUGAACUUUCAAUAGCUCGGACUUCAUCAGCAAUCUCUUCUGCUUUAGAUGUAUCUGACUGCCGUGUCUUCUUGGGUAGCCACCACCGAAUGUAAUUAGUAAGAUCAAGUUUUCUCUCUAAGCCAAAGCUUCCUGCAAAUUUUCCGUCCAACAUGAUAUCCUUUCCUGUAGUUUCAAAAGCUAUAACAACAUUAGUCGCAUGAUCUUAUAGCAGUUUUUAUUAGAGUUUGACAACUAGAAAGAACAGAGUAGAAGUCUUUACAGACUGACCACAACUAAGGUUCAUGUAGUCAUUCCCGAGUAAAUGCCCCAAAGACGUAUCCCAUCUGGAAUUAUGCAGUUGCCUGCAUGAUAAUGCACACCAUUGUGAACUUUCGAUAUUAGGACUUCAUCAAACUUACUAUUGUGACAGUGUAUUAAGAAAUUCAGGCACAAAGUUAGAUAGGACCAAAUCAGGGAUCGGAGUUGGUAGUAUGUACACUAUUUGGGUUUUUUACUAUUGUGACAGUGUAUUAAGUUUCUAGGAUUCGGGUCAAAUCUUCCUAAAAAUGAGGUACCAUCUGCACCUUCUUUAAUCAAGAAUGAAUCAAGGGUUAGCAUAAAAAAAUUAGAUUCCAUUACUAGGGAUAGAAUCUCAAUUGCUAACACAUACCUAGGAAGCCCACGGUAUUUUGGCAACCCCCUGGAGAAGGCACUGCUCUUUCUGCAAUGCAUGGAUCUUCUGGUCAGUGCUUAAUCAGAACAAAAUCAUGUAUAUAGAACACAAGAAAUGCACAAAUAUACCUCCUAAGAGACACAAGAUAAUCCUCCUUGGAGAUCAUCUGCAUCUCUUCAAGGUCUCUUGCAUAGUCAGAGACCUAAAUAAGCAAACAUAUAAUGAACAUAAGUCUGAAAAAAAGCAUAAUUUCAAUUAACUACUGUGACAAUAUGCAUGAAACAUAAAUAAAUAACACUCUAUGUUUGCAACUCAUCGGGACCCACAUGUACAAGUAUCAAAUUAAGCAAUUAAAUGUGUUGAUAUAUUUGUUUUCUCACAUUUACAGAAGGCAUUUUUUGUUGCACAUUCUUAGCAUUCAGUCCAGCAACUUGAAUCAUGCAAAAAGAAGACAUUCCACUCAAGUGCAAUUGUGCAAAUAUGCAAAAAUCAACUUCCAAUGUCAUUUUACAACAAUAAUAAAAUUUUAUGAAUAAGAAUUGAAGUAUAGGUCGGGAAGUGUUAUUUCUCAUCUGUCAUGUGAAUGCAUGGAGUACAGCAGUCAGCAGGUACCUUAGUGCAAGCAUGAUAUAUCAGCACAACACUUUUAUUCGAUUUAAAAUAAAGGGGAAAAAAGAUGGCAACAGCCUAACAAUCAUGAUCUAGACACCUCUUAGAUCUGAUUAAUGUCUGGAAGCUCCCCUUUGAAAGUACAGAACUAUGUUGCUCAAUGUAAGAAAAAAUAAAGGAAUAUUGUUUCUUGAAUUAAACAAUUUCUAUCAACAGAGAGCUAAUCUGAACAUAAGCUGGAGAAUUUUACAGCAAUUCAAAAACAAGAUUCACAAUCAUUAACUUACUGGAAAAUUUAUUUGUGUUCCAGCUCCCCAGUAUUUUAAUGCAGCAAGGUCAUAGGCCCUUGCUGCAGCCUCUUCGUCGUCAUAUGCACCUACGUUAUUGCACACAGGAUAGAUAAUGAUUAACAAAAACCAUAGCAAUUCGGCAAAUUAAGUUAACAUGGGGAUGCCACUUACCUAAAUAUACUGCAAUAGCAAUCGUGCGAUGUAGUUUCCCAUGCAAAAGAAACAAUUCCAUCAAAUCAUAAUGAGAGCUAAAGUCAUAAAUAUUACAAAUAAAAUCAUUUUGUUGUUGACUAAAUACAGCUGUGCUUUUCCUGAAGAUACGAAAUAAACCGGACAAACGAUAGGAAUUUGGAAACUGCAGUAGGCAUAGCUCAUUACUUCCAUCCAUGCCAAAUGAUUAUGGCAUAAUGCAAGAAUAAUCAUUAUUUUCGUUACAACCGAACUGAUUCACACUACUGUUGGAAAAGGUGGAGAGCAUAUUUGAGUGUCAAGUGUUAGAUUGAAGAAAGACACUUGGACAUGGCAAGAUUCCAAGAUGUAUGUUUCACUCUAUCUGGGUAUAUUUAUAAACCAUAGCAAAAUCAUAAUAUUAUAAAACCAUUUGUCAAGGGAAAUGCGUCUGAUAAUUUCCAAAUGUUCAAACACAAUAUUCAAGAAGAUAUCAAUGGCAACGUAUUAAAAGUUUGACUAUAUGAUACAUGCAACCAAAAUUUAUGACAUGAGGGAGAAGUUAGCAGCUCACAGAAGAUUAAUUUGUUUAAGCCUGAUGCCAACAUAAAUCAAGCCAAACUAUCUAUUUAAUGUAAUCAAGUUGCAGUGAGUGAUAUGUUUUCACAUCUUCCAGUUCCAAUAUGUUCAGAAUUUCAAGAACACGUACAACUGCCACUACUCUGUAUAUUACAUCCAAACAUACCUUGUUUGCCCUUUUUGUUCUGAUUCUGAUUCCACGUGCUUUUGUCCCAAAGGUGAGCCUCAUAUCGACCUGUCCACCUAUGCCUAUUGAGGAGUCAUCAAGUUCAGGUCUAUAUCAAUGUAUACAAACAUAGCAAGCAUCAGAGGAAAGGUGAGAAAGUUUCAUUUAUAUCAGUCAUGACAGGAGUAUUACCAAGUAUAAACUGGCUGCUACAUUUGAUGCAGCAACAGAAAACAGUGCUAAGUCAUUAUGGCACGAAAAUUUCAUCUGCAGAGGCUCAGAAGAAAUAUUCUAUUUGGCAAGCUUGACCCAAAUUGCCUCAGAAGAAUUCAAAAUUUUACAUGUUACAUCGACUAAGUACCCAUGCCACAACAGAAGCAGAGUAUGAGACCAUUUUAACACGCCACAAAAGCCUCUGGAAAAUCACAAGCACCAUCAGUCCAUCACAGAUCCCAUGUCAGCCGGUCUUAAACGUGGUUCAGGAACCCUAGGCAAUAUGAACAGUGAACGCCAAAUUAAAACAGUAUUGAGCCACAACCAAGCCAAUAUCCGAUGUACCAGUGGUUGCCAAAAUUAAUCGAGACUGGAUAAGAUUGGUGGUCAACGCAACGCUGUCAAUAGAGCAUAAGUAAACGAGUCGAGCUCCUUGAGGACGUGAGAUCGCCUCAUUUCGAGCCACCGGAACCACGGAGUUAUUGGAACCGCAAACAAAUAGUAGAUCCCGAAUCGCCGAAACAACAUGGCAAUCCCAGACGGAGGGAUUUAGCACAGGAGAGGAGACUCAACCAAGGAGCCAACCAAUCGAAGUGCGCACAGAAGAUUAGCAACGUCCUAAGCUCCCAGUUCGUAGCAAGUAGCAGCACGCAGAGACGUAGAGGAAGGGGACGGGGACGGGGACGGGGGAGCAGGGGACCCUGCGACUCGUACCGAGUGACCCCGCGGUAGAUGGAGCUCCGCUUCCCCGCGGCGCAGGGCGGCAUGCGGCUGAUGCGCUCCUUGGCCGUGCACACGCGCUCCUUCCGCACGGUGAGGGCCCUCCUGGGCGGCUGCUCCCCCGCCGCCACAAUCGCCCCCGCGACGGCGCCGAACGACGAGGACGAGCCCUCCCCUGCCCCCGGCACGGCCAGCCCCGCGGCGUCGGGGUUGGGGGAGGCCAUGGCCGCCCUCCGCCGGCCGGAUCGGUCGGUCGGAGCGGUGCCGAGCCGGCUCGACGGCGAGGGGUUGGUGCGGUGUUGCGCAGCGCAGCGCAGCGAAGCGUAACGGGUGACCGUUUGGGGGCGGCGUGGUGUGGUGGUGGGAUUUGAAAUGGGAGGGGGAGGGGGGAAGGGGGCGGCAUCGGCUGGCGUGGAACCGGGGUUGGGUGGGGCCGAUAGGGACGCGUGGAGCCCACUGGGCCGGCACAGGGGAGACAGGCGGACGGGGAGCGCAGGGGAAUCCGAGGAUGCGGCAUUGAUGUGUUUGCGAUGAUGGGUGAUGGGUGUGGGUUUGGGCCCGGAAGCGACAUGGGAACGGGGAGAUCGGAUCGGAUCGGCCCGUCGUCGUUUCCUCGAACGGCAACGGUGCGCUUCUCGAGAAGCGUCUGGCGCCUCGAGUUGAGUCAGUCGACGCGAGUUCCGGGCGCGUUGGUUUUUAGCUCAGCCAAACGGAGGGGACGUCGUGUCGUCUCGUCGUCUAGCUGCCUGGUGUCCCAAAGCAUCUCGAGGUGCAGUAUCCACGUACUAGUAAUAAUCUUGAGUAAAUUCCUUCUAUGCCGUUGGAAGCUUGCUUAUCCUUUCUAUGCCGUCCAAAAUUUUAACAUCCCUCCAGUGCCAUUGAUGGUAAUUUCCCAUCCCCUGUGCCAUUGCCGUCAAAUGUCAACUUUUAUGAGAAAAAGACGAAUAUACUCCCGCCUUCCUUCUUGCUUCCACCUUUCUUCGAUUUCACGCGCUCCCACUCCCACUCCCACCUCUGCUCUGGCGCCGGCUCCGCCUCCUCGCCCCUGCCCGUGCAUCGUCGGCAGCUUCAAGUCCCCACCGCCGCGCCCUCCAGCUCGUGCUCACCGCCCUUCUCCACCACGAAGUCCUCCCGGACACUGCCUCCCCAUCCACCGUCCUCAUGGCGCCCGACACGGAGCGAGGUUGGGACGCGACGCCGGAGUGGCGGCGGCGUCGCGCACGGGGCUGCGGCCACAGGCGUGGACGCGCGGCUGUGCGCGGCGGCGGGAGCGGUGGUCGGCGUCGACGGCGGCUGAUUCGACGUUGGGGCGCCGCGGACCGUGGCCGCCUGCGAGGUGGCGCGUCGUGAGGGCGAGGUCGCGGCCGCACGGGUCGGCGCGAGCGUGGGACAGAGCCGCGGCUGGCGGCCCCACCGCUGCCGCGUGGGAGCUCGCCUAGCGUGCGGCCGCCGGGUGCGUCGUCCUCGCCCCCGGCGCUCCCUGCAUCCAGCCGCCGCGCCGGGCCGCGGGACCCGCACCCUUGCCGUGCGCAGCGCCGGGCCGUGGCGGCGCCGCCGCGCUUCCCGCGCUGGUGCGCCUCCGCCGCCGCCCCCGCGUUCUCGCUCCGCGCGACCACGCGCUGUGGGGACCGAGUCGGGCAAGGUCCUUGAUGCUAAAUCCGAGCUCCCUUUGCAACAAUCCGAAGCUGCAACAUUGGAUCUGUGAAGUAGCAUGGAUUAGCAAUCCAUUUUGUGUUGGAGAUUGGAGGAAGUAUGCUGUGGGCAGCACUUAAAUUUGUGCGGCAAGAACAGGAGCGGAGGAGAAAACCAAGAGAAUAGGAGAGGAGAGAGAACGGCGCAGUUGAAUGGUUUUCUAACGCCGUGAGGACAAAAGUGACGGUAGUGGCACGUAGCCGAUCAGAAAUUAGAAUCAACGGUACUACUCUAAUUUUGGAUGGCACAUAAGUUGGAUGGCACGGAAGGGAUAUGUAUAGUUUUGAGUGGGAUAGAAGGAAUUUACUCAAUAAUCUUUCACAGUAGACCGUACUAGACAAAGAGUAAGACACGGUGUAGGCGUGUAGUGUGUAUCAUGCUGGUUAGUGGUUACAGGUUCAGUGUAUUUCUUUUCUUUUCAUUUCCGUCCGCUUGUCUCCCCUGUGCACUUGCCGGUUUGGCAUCAGAAAAAACAGGCUCGAGAUGUUCCAUCGCAACAAGAAUUCCAACCGUGGGAAGUUUUUUAAGUGACCGGCAGAAAAAAAAACUUAAGUAUUAUUUUUAUUUAAGAAAAAAGUCCAAAUUACUCCUAUAGCGAAAGUUCAAAUAACCAUAAACUAUAUUUUGGUUCAAUUUACCCCAUAAACUAUACUAUUUGGUUCAACUUACCCCAUAAUGCAAUUUAUCUUUUUUUUUCUCCAUACACAAGAUGAAUUUUAAUUUGAGAUUUUGUAGGGUGACAGUGGAAAUCAUAAUAUAUAUUUAAAAAUAUUUUAUAAAUUUUUUAUCAUUAUUUUUAUAUAAUUUUGUAUCUCAAUGAUAAAUUUUAUUAUUAAAUAUCCUACCCUAUCAAAAUAACGAUAAAAAAUUCAUGAUAUAUUUUCUAACAUGUCUUAUGAUAUCUUUUAUCAUCAUGCAAAAUUUGAACUUAAAACUUCACUUAUGCAUGGAGAAACAAAAAGGACAAAUUGUGUUAAAGGGGUAAAUUGAAAGUGACAUAGUUUAGAGCUACACUGAAAAAAACUAUUUUAGAGGUUAUUCAGACUUUAGUUAUACUUGAAGGCAGUAAUUUAGACUUUUUUUUCUUUAUUUAAUGACUGGAGGUGACUAACGUUUACAAGUUUUUUUUACGUAGCCGUCGAUUUCGCAAGCAGCGUAUGUGCCAUCUUCACCUCUCCGAGUAGACAGGGAUGAAAGGUACUGUCAAUUCAAUUCUAAAUCAUUAAAAUUGACAAGUUUCUUACCUUUAUCACUCCGUUUUCCUUUCCUAUGAAAUUGAAAUCUUUUAGCCAAUUGUGAUGGGUAACUGAAAUUACUGUGUGAUGUUUUUUCUUCAUCUGAUUAGCCUAUUAUCAGGCUCCUGCCCACAAGGUUCGCGAUGAAGAUGUUUUUACACACUUUUAGCUAGAUUUAUGUUUAGCACAAUCCACCAAUUAUACGUAUGACAAAACUAAAUAGUGAUUAAUUACAUUUAAACUAAUUUUAUAUUACAAUUUCAUGAUUCUUUCUAAUACCAUGAUUGAAAAUAAUUGAUUAUUAAGAUUUUCAAAUUCCCAUGGUUCUAUUUCAAAACACAAUGAUGGUUUUAGUUUCGAUUUUCAACCCAUUUCCCUUAAACCCCAAGAACACCUCCGAAUCCCAACAAUGGCAGACCCCCCCCCCCCCCCCCCCCCGCUUCGUUCCGCCGCCAUCCGCUCGCCUCCUCCGUCGACCUCGUUCGAUGGCUCUCCACCUCCUCCUCUGGACGCCUCCUCGCUGACGCCAUCUACGAUCCCUCUUUCGUCCCUGCCACCUCCAGCAUCCACCUCCUCCCACUCUCCGACCCCACUCGCCUCCUUCCUACUCCCGUCCCGCACCUUCACGCUCUGUUGCUCCCCCUCCACGCUUGUCGUCGCCACCUCCUCCCUCGUUCGACUCUGACGCGGCAGUGGCCAUCCCCGGCGGCGCAGGGUUCCACGUGAGCUCAGUCCGGGACAUAGACUUCGAAGGUGAGGAGUGGGUCACGACGAGGGAGGAUGGGAGAGCGCAUGUUAUCGGUGGGGAGAGGAUGGGAGGUUGGUGGUGAGGAGGGUGAGGGACGGGAAGGGGAUGUCAAGGCACGAGGCCGUUAGGUGGGUGUCGCCGGUGAAGUUCAUCAUGAGCGGCGCCAGGUGUGGCGUGUAGUGGUGGCACAGUGCAAAUGGCAUCCGGUGAGUGUAACAAAACCUGUAUCUUUAGUGUUUCUAGCAAUAUGUGAUAAAAACCGAUUCACAUUGCUCACUUAACCUUGAACAACAUUUGCUCAUUUUACUUCUCUAAACUAUUUCAUUUCUGAACAACAUUUGCUCAUUUUACUUCCCUAAACUAUUUCAUUUUGGUCCAAUCUACCCCUGGCCGGAUCCAAAAUAAAAUUAUAGGGGGCUGAACAUCACAGGCACUAAGCAAUCUUGGUCCACUUUCUCAAAUGUUCUGCACUUUGCUGACCAUAAGACAUGCAUGUUGUCAAGCAUGGAAAUAAUGGUUUGUAUAGAGGAUAAAUUUUAGAAGGCUUCAACCUAGUAUGCCGGCCAGUUUGCUUGAACAUUUGAGUUCUAAUAAAAGGAAGCUAAAUGGCUGAUGAUAGGAAUGCCCUUGCGGAUGGCCGAUAGCUCCUUUGCUGCUUGCAGAAGUGAGCCGGUCAGGCUGACAGACAGUCUCAGAGACUGAGCUCACCUGGCACUUCAACGCGCGCAGCGCGCCCUCCUGCCAAGACCGGCUGCGACGCCCGUGCUCGCAGGCUGCGUCCCUUACCGGCGACCGGCCGCCAAGACUGCGGGCGCGUUUGAUUUAUGAUUUUUAGUUCGGGUCGAAUGUUUGUAUACCAAUUAGAAGAACUAAACGUGAAUUAAUUAUAAAAUUAAUUGUAUAAGCUAUGGCUAAUUCGUGAGACGAAUCUAUUAAGCCUAAUUAAUCCAUGAUUAGCACAUAUUUACUGUACUAACACAUGGUCAAAUCAUGAGUUUAAUAGAUUCAUCUCGCGAUUCAGCCUUCAUUUAUGCAAUUGGUUUUGUAAUUAACCUAUAUUUAAUACUUCUAAUUAGUAUCCCAAAUAGGACCGAGCGUGGCUGCAAGCAAUGUGCACUGGAUUCAGAUAGUGAAAUUUUUUUAUUUUUUAUUUUAGUAUUUUGCUAAAAUAUACCUCCUAAAAAAAUUACAAAUCUAUAUAGCUACCGCCAGCUGAACCGGCGGUAACUUCCCACCUCUAGAUACUACACUUUCAAAAAAUCAUAACUAAUUCAUAUGAAUUUGGAUGGAGAUAAACUUUAUAUAAAAAUUGUAGAUCUCGACGAGAUCUAUAAUUUUGUAGAUAAAACUUUUUUCAUUUGAUAUCAUCUUAGUGCUCAAAUAAUCGACACAAAUUUGAACUACAAAUAAAACUUGUGUUGAAUAUUUGAGUACCAAGAUGACAUCAAAUGAAAAAAAUUUGAACUACAAAGUUGUAGAUCUCGUCGAGAUCUACAAUUUUUAUAUAAAGUUUAUCUCUAUCUGAAUUUAUAUGAAUUAGUUAUAAUUUUUUUGAGUUACCACCUGUUCAACUGGCGGUAGGUUGCUUCCGCCGCGUGUUUCCAAGGGAUGCAUGCGUUGGAUUCUGAUCAAAUCUUUGUCGAUCUGAGCUAAGCUCUAUUUCUUUUCAAGUUUACCAUGGAUUUGUAUCUUAAUGUUUGUCCGUUCUAGUUAUUUUGUGAUUAAUGUUUGUCCGUUCUAGUUAUUUUGUGAUUGUUAUUGUCAGAAGCUCAUCUUAUUUUUAUUCUUUAGUGACAUGACUCAUGAGGCAGUAGCCUUCAUUGUCGAGGAUCGUGGAUCUAAAAGACGAGCUCAUGGCUCUACUAGGAUGUUCAUGAGGACCCUUGCAGGCUUGUCGUGCUGUCUUGCUCACAUGAGGAGUCUUGCAGGCUCUGUCUCAUUCGUUUUGUAUCUGUCAAUGCUAAGCUCAAGUAAAAUGUCUGUUCUUUGUGAGAAGCAGGCGAAUAAUACAUGAAGCAGUACAUUUUUUAUACUAUAGUAAGGCAUCUUGGCUCUCUACAUUUCUAGCACUACCUCGAGUACUUACUAAAUUCAUUAAUUUUUCAUUAUACUAAUUUUUGUGACCUUGAUAAACACUUUAUCUAUGAAUCAAACAUGUGACAUCUUCCUACCGGAUUGCGUUACAACUAAUAGUUUAAUUCCUUUACCCUUCUAAAUCAUCAUGCCCUUAGCCAUGACAAAUUAUUUAAGGGAACAUAUCUUGUGAGAACCAACUAAACUUGAAAACUAUAUCAAAACUCAUAAGUAGAUGGUUACAACUAAUAGUUUUUCUUUUUACACCUUCCAUUACCAACUAUGCUCCAUGACAUAAUAAUUGGAUUCUUGCCUUGCUUACUUUCUUCUACGAUUUUGCAGUUAAUGUAAAUGAAAUAUGUAUGAGUUGUUCAAAAAGAUAAGCAGCUUCGUGGUUGAUGAUGGCUUGAUUAAUAAGGUAUGUAGCUUCUCCUAUUUUCUUUGAAUGGAGUGGCAAUGAAUGGAAAUUAUGUUAUCGUGAAGCCACGAUGCCUAAUUUCAACAGUUUUAACAUACUCAAACAUUUUCUUCGAGUCAUGUGUUGCACAACAUUUAUUUAAGUUGUCCAACAUCUUUUUAAAUGCACCAACAUUUCUUGAUAUCGAUCAACAUUUGUUUGACAUACACCAACAUUUUUUCUAUGUUAUUCAAACAAUUUUUAUACUCUAACCAACAUUUUUUUGAGAAUGACUAAAAUUUGUUUACAUACACAAACAUUUUUCCUUUAACUUAUUUCUGGACACACACCAACACUUCUAGAUAUUGACCAAUAUUUUUUACAUAAUAUCAACAUUUUUAUGUUUGCAGAACAUUUUUCCACACUCUCCAACAAUUUAUUUGACAUACAUCAACAUUUUUCUUGAUACACCAACAUUUCCUUUAAAUAAUUCAACAUUUAUUAAUGGCGGCCAACAUGUUUUGAGCAUGUACCAAUAUAUUCUUAAAGUUAUUUUUAAACUCUUACCAACUUUUUAGAAUCUAUUCAACUUAUUUUUGAACACAUCUCCAACAUUUCUUUAUAUUUCUUAACAUUUUUUUCUAAAUCAACAUUUAUUGAUGAUUGGCCAACAUUUUUUCAUAAUCUCCAACAUUUUCUUGACCAUUAUCAACAAUUUUUUUCAUACACAGUUUUUUCUUGCAUUUCAUUGACAUGCACUAACAUUUUCCUUUAACUUAUUCUGGGCACAUAGCACCAUUACUUGAUAUUGACCAACAAUUUAUCUGACAUUCACCAACAUUUUACUUAAUAGACCAACAUUUCCUUUACAUAAUUCAACAUUUUUUUUCAUAUACCAAUGUAUUCUUAUAUUGUUUGCCCAACAUUUUUUUUACAUACUCCAACAUUUUGCCAAUAAUAGCCAACUUUUUUUUGACAUGCACCCAACAUUAAUCACGAACCCCACUUUGUAGGCUAGGGUAGUGUGAUCCUAAUGCAUUAGCCAUUUUUGAAACAGAAGCCUAAAAGGUCUUUUUAUAACAAAUUCACAUAUGAUAUUCCAUGAGCACAACCGUUGUUCAUUUUAUUUUUGUUCCAACUCCUCUCUUAAAAGUACAACAAAUUUCAUGAAAAGUUCAUCCACAUGCUACUUUAAUCCAAAUGUUGUUCUUUAGCUUUUGCUUCUAGGUUUGUCACAAAUUUUCUAUCAAUGAUUAUCUAUAUUUUAUACUUUCAAUGUUAUGAUAAAAAACUGCAUCUAUCUAACAUUUUGUUACCAUUACACAACUAGUAAAUGUUUUCAACAUUUCUAACUGUGUGUUCACCUUUUAUAAUGAAUGUUUCCAACAUUUCUAGUUUCCAAUAUUUUUUAGUUACCACAAGGUCCAACAAUUUUACACGAAUAGGUUCAACUAUUUUGAAUUCAACCUCAUAUUGUUCCAUAAUUUUUCUCCAUUAGAUUCAACAGUUUUAGAAAUUUAACUUCUUACUGUUCAACAAUUAUCUUGUCAAAAUCAUUAUGAUAUUCAACAGUUCUAGCAGUUUCUUUUCCACAUCCUAACAUUUCUAAAACUUAUUGUAAUUCUAUGUUUAUUAUUAACAAGUGCUCUAGUUCUUCAUGAGGAGAUGAUUCAUUUUAGGGUGAUUGAUGUUUCUUAGUUGAGGAUCGAGUAGACCUGAAGUUACUUAGUUAAUUAUUAGUUUGUAUAAUAACAAUUCUAUUCUCACUUGUGUUUUUAGUUGGACGUACAUGUUGAUCAUAUGUAAAAAUUAUAUCUUAGUAUAUUAAACUUCAAAUUUUAAGUUGCAAGUUCCCACCUGUUAGUAUCCCACUUCAAAUCACAUGCCUAGCAAAUUAGUCAAACAAUACAUCAGUCGGUUGAGAACUGGUGUCACGUGGAAAAAUAAUAAUAACACGCUAAAAAAGGUCGAAAGCGCUCUCAAAAAUAAUAACAUGCUCAGGAAAAUAAUAUCGGAGGGGCGCUAAAAAAAGUCAAAGGCACGUGGCGUGCGCAUCCAGGAACGGAACGAAAACUACGAAGCUAGGUCUUGAUGGGCUUUAUAGUUCAAGCGCUUAACCAUCUUCCAAUAUAUAUAUAGGACCUUCCAGGCUUGACCUCCCACUUUGCGACUUCUUCAUGUAUAAGUUGAGUUUUAGGGGGUGUUUGGCAGCACUUCACUCUAGAAAAAAUAGCUCCACUCUACGGACUUCGCAAAAUUGCAGCUCCACUCCACCAACUCCAGGAAAACAUGGAGUUGUUGUACGUGUUUGGCUGAUUGUAAUGCUCCAACUCCAGAAACAUCAGGACUUAUUGCGAAUAGUCUAUUUUACCCUUUUGUGAAUGGACCCACAUGUCAGUCUCUUCUCUCUCACCUCCUCUCUUCCUCUCCCUUCUCUUUUCUCCCCUUCUCUUCAACAACGACCACCAUCGACGUGGCCGCGUGCGGUGGCAGCGCCUGCUCGACGUGCUGGCCGAGGGUCCACAACACCAGCGGCAGGUUGUUGAGACAGCCGGCGGCGAGGCGCAAGAAGGGUCGCGGCAUGCUCAGGCUGCUCCUCUCCAAGAAACUCAGCGGCGCGACGACGAUGGCGCCUGCUACGGCGGCGGCCAAGAAGAAGCGGCAGCAGCGGCCGGCCGCUAUUGGCUAGCACCGCACCGAUGUUGACGUGAAGCGGACCACGCCGGUCCGUUCCGCGAAUGCCGGUGUCCCGGCUUCCCCCAGCGCCCAGGCCCUUAAACCGGCGUCCCCCAACCUCUCCUGUUCUUCUUCUUUCUGCUUCCCCAUUCUAAUCCACGAACAGAGCUAGGCCGCCGGCCGAUUCAUCCGCAUCCCGGCCAUCUCCCUCCAAUCGCUCGCACCUGAAGCUCCUCCACCCUCACAGCUCCAGCCUCCGCCACUUCCCGUCGUGCUCCGUCCACCCCACCGCCGGGAAUCUCGGUUUCCGUGACCGCCCGUGGUCCUCCCGCCACCGCCCGCACCUCAUCAUCGUCGGCCCAACUCCGACCCUCUCCACCCAAACAAAGAACACGGGUGAGCUCCUUGGGACCAACCGGUGCCCGCGCGCCCGUCUUCCCGCCUCGACCGCUGGCGUAGCCGCCAGAGCAGCCGCCGCCGCCGCCUAUCCCGUCCACCGCCGCUCGCCACCAGCCUGCUCCAGUCGUAUUCCGGCAGGGUCAGGUAGGGUUAUAGAUGCGCCUCGUAGUUCUAGACGUGUAGGUGCUAGCCCCGUCGCUGGAAUCCUUACUGCCGGCAAGUACCCGCCGGUCAAACGGUCGGCUGCCAUGGCCUUGAACCGACCAAGGUUGGAGUCUCGGGAAAAUAGAAACGAACUGGUGGUAUAUUGUGUAACGAGUGGUAAAUGUGGGUAAAUAACCCUCAACUCUACGAGGAAGUCUGAAACUGACGUUUUUGGAGCAUCCCCGGAAGAUCCUCUAGGAAAAACGUGGAUCUAACCACUAGCUCCACGUUUUUUGUGGAGCUGGAUUGGAUGGGUUUGACAAGUAAUUUUGUGAAGUUGGUGAAGUGAAGUUAUUUUUUCUAAAAUGGAAUGCUGCCAACAACCCUUGAUGUCAGAUUUAUUUCUGACUCGACCACCCCGCUCCGGUUCCGACUCGACCACCCAGCUCCCGGUGGCCCCACCACACCCGCCUGCGCUUGGCCUAUCAAGUCCGAGGAAGUCUGUUCUGCUGCCCGCUAGAUGGCGUUAGGACUCCGAAUCCGACAUCACCCGAAUAAAAAAAAAAGUCGUCUGUGUUUGUUAUUGGAAGCUUUAGGAGCUUCAGGUUGUGAGAACAUUUUUUGUUGUAGCAAUGUUGGAUGCUCACUGCUACAGUUUGAUGGAGGGUGAUAGCAACCCGCAAUUUUGUGCUUUUGUUUCGGUGUUAGUGCAUGCUAGUUUGGCGCUUUUGGUUCGGGGUUAGUGCACGCCAGCUGUAAGUUGUAACAACUUAGGGUGUUUGGAUACGAGAUGUUAAACUUUAACAGUGUCACAUCGAAGAUUCGGAUGCUAAUUAAGAGAACUAAAUAUGAGCUAAUUAUAAAAUUAAUUGCAGAACCCUGUGCUAAUUCGCGAGACGAAUCUAUUAAGCCUAAUUAAUCUAUCAUUAGCAAAUGGUUACUGUAGCACCACAUUAUCAAAUCAUGAACUAAUUACGAUUAAUAGAUUCGUCUCGCGAAUUACACUUCAUCUGUGCAAUUAGUUUUAUAAUUAGCCUAUGUUUAAUACUCCUAAUUAGCAUCAAACAUCCGAUGUGACGGGUUAACACCUGAUUGCCAAACAUGCCCAAAUUAUUUCUUAUGUUCGGCAUUUGCCCUAGCAUUUAAAUCGGCCGAUGAACAUAGCAGACAAGUCUGACUGUAAUGUACAGAAGUCAAUUUCGCCAUAAAACAAACGCCAAACGUGAAUCCUGCAGAAUUCACUACAGACACGUCUGAGUGAAAUGCCGUAGUACUUCGUAAGAUCUUAGUUUCUGCACCUGCAUCCUGUUAAAACUACACUCAGUAACGGCCUCAUGUGCUCGGUGAACAAGAGAAUGAUAGCUACAUAUGAAAAAAAAGAUCUGGUCAUUACAAAAUCUGUAUGCCACCUGCAAAACACUAGGUGCGAUACAGUUGGCUGUUAGCGAACUAGAUACAAGGGAACAGAGACUACGACCAAGUAAUAGCUAGAACCCCUCCACAAAAACAUUCCAGGUGUUACCUUUUACCUAAGGAUGUUGUCGCCUAUGCAUAGAGAGUAAUAAGGCCUACUAGAUUUUACAAGUUUCUGCCAUCUCCCUGAAACUUUGCCUCAAACCACCAUACACUAAGAACAGAUCCCAGAUUCCAUCUGCGGCAAUGCUUUCAGUGCUAUCCAGUGAUAACUGACUGACUGAAAUCUUGUCCACCAACAGCGACCAGCGACUCAAUUAAGCUUAUUUCUGUGGUUGAAGUUUUCCGACAGAGUGCAGGUACACCGAGACAGACACAACCCUGCAAGUUGAGAGCAGAUUUUGAUAUUGCAUCAUGAGUUUGAAGGUUCUAAUCAACAGAAGUGGCAAUGACAUUCUCAUUAUCACUUACGUGGAUCCAAGGAAGAAUGCAAGGGAUAAAUGGAAGCUAAACAAAAAGACAGAUACAAUUGCUGUCAGAAGCAUUGCAACUGAAGUUGAAUAAACCUGUAAAUACAUAUUGUCAGUAAAAACUGCUGUAAGAUAUUUUCAUUAAUUUAAGUCAAGGACUGCUUGAAUAGAUUAACUUGGUUAAACAAAAGAGCACUAGGAGGACAAAACAUCCAUAUACAAGAUGCAUCUGUUUUAGGGUCAAGCACCUAUAUGGUUUUAUGUUGUUUGGGAGUAUCUCUAUUUGUUCUCCUGGAGCACUGCCCAACAACAUCAAAGCCUUUUCGGCCCUGUUUGUUAGGCUGGGUAGGCUUGAGAUAAAUCCACCACCCCCCCCCCCCCCCCCCCCCCUCCCGUUUUGCAACCCACAACCACAAGGUAGUUUCAUGUGCUUUAAAUUAUCACCAUUUAAGGUAAUGAUAUAGGCACUUGGUAGACUCAGGGUAGUUGUCUUGCUACCCGAAAAACAAACAGAAACUUGCAUAUUUGAAACAACAGGAAAAAAGUAAAAUAUAUGCAUCAAAAUGUAUUGAGUAUCAACUACGUCCUUGAAACGCCCUUAUCCAACCCUCAACUUGUCACCCUUUGACAAUAACAGGGUAAACACAGAACAAAGGACAAGAUAGAUGAUGACGAUUGAAGCGUAGGGAGUUAGCAGGGUGUUGAAUCCUGAGACUGGAGACUUAUUUUCCUCUUUAUACUUGCUCAAUUAAAAUGAUGACAGUGACCUCACAUGGAGGGGCUAGGGCCUAACUCAUGUGAACUAUCUAAAAGGAACCCUUAAUGAUAGCAACCAACCCAAAUGAAAUAUUUAAUAUGGAAACUAAUCAACCCAAUCCUAAUUAAUGUUGCCUCCACACUCAAGUUGCAACAAAGCCGUGUAUGGGCUACAAUGCAUAGAUAAACAAUAGUCGGGACCUAGUGGGCUGCACAUGAAUCAACUUCACUAACAUCACAAAUGAUGCUCAGACAUAAAUUUGAAUGCUAGUGGCACAUACCUUGACUAUAUUAUCAGCAUAUUUCAUCACCAUUGAAACAGCAAUUCCACUACAUGGUAAAUGAAACAAGUGUAAGCUACCUUGAUUAGGUGACAAAAAAAGGGUUUAAACUCUUAGUUGUUGGUACCUCAGUGCAUGGUUCAGAAUCAUCAAAACUGUGAUGAAUGAAUACCCAUGGAAAAAGCCUCUGUGCCAGAUAGCGUAAGUAAAACUGUUAAAUACAUGAAUUAUACUGAAGGCAGCGUAAGAGUUUAGUAGUUUCCAUGAGCACUAACUUAUUCAUGACUGCAUCAUAAUCCUGAACACAAAUUGCAACUAAAUUGAAGAUCACCCCAAAAAUGUAUAGCCAAAAGUUCUGCACGUUGAUGUUUCUUGACGGACGUUUUUUAAUGAUAGCCUGCAAUGUCCAAAGAUAAAUCAAAACCUUCCCUAAUGUUUUACACCAAAUGAAUUCAUUUAAAGUAAGAUAUUUAAGAGAAGAGAAACCAAGAGCAACAAGACAUACUUCUGUAUAUACCCCAGCAAAACCACUUAAAAGAGCCAUCACCUGCACGAGAAUGACCAAUUCAGCAAGGUGAGGGAAAACACUUCCAAUAGUAAUCUAAAUGAAACUGAAUGUCUUCAAUUACAACUCACAAUUGCCAUCAUCCAACCUUGAAUAGGAGUUUGAAGCACAUGGUCAGAUCUAAAAAUGGACAAAUAACAUUUCAACUAGUCAAAACUCAUAUUUCAUUAAAUGACCAAAUGACACUAGACAAUGCGAUGGAGGGAGGGAAUUAAUGUGGGAUAUUGCUUAGUGCUUACGAAGGAUUGAGUUGAGCUGUCGUGCAACCAGCACAUAGAAGAACAAAUGCUGCCCACUGGAUUUCACUUAACCUGAAAGGACAGGAAAGACACGGAAUAAAUAUACAUGCACACAGUGAAAUACUGGAAACAGGGAACCAUACUGGUGAAGCAAAGAUUGUGAGAAGUUCCAGGAAGGUGAAGAAAACAGAAGUUGUGAUCAGCUAGAAGGCCAAUAACACAGAGGCAAUAGUUCUUUUUUUGUCAGCUCUGGUAUCUGCCAUAGGCAAAGAUUUGAAAUUCUAGUUCUGCUUCUAAUCCAAGCCAAGCCAUGAUGGAUCAACAAAAUAAACUGCAAUCAUGCUACGUAGGGCUCCCAUUCCUAUGGUAAAGCAUAAUGUAGCGAUUAUUUCCAGUUGCUCAGAAGAUACUAACUUUUUCUUCAAAAUGAUGCGGUACAAGACACCAGUGCUGAUGAUAUUCAGGUUCUUCAAGAUCUGGUAUGCUGGUGCGUCCACAUAAGCAAAGAUAUAGUACUGGCACAUAACAUCAAAUGGAAGGGUACGUCAACAUGCUAAACAUCAUGCAAUUAAAUUGGUCAUAUCACAGAAGUACCAAACGUACCUGCAAUAAGUUCUUCACCAUAUAAAGAACAGCUGGAAUCGGAUAUACACUGACUUCAUCAAAAGAUGUGGUUAACCUGAAAAAAAAAACAAAAUCAAAUGGCAGCUGAACAACUAAAUCUAACAGAGCAACAGUUAUAGACCAGUGGCGGAGCUUCAACAUAAAUCAAGGGGGGGCCAGUUAUGUGUAAUCAAUGGGAUUAAGGGUAAAAUUACAUAGUUAUCUACUUUUGAUUACUGUCACUCAAAGGGAAAUUAUAAAGUGAGGGGGGGCCAUGGCCCAUCUUGGCCUGCACUAUCCUCCGCCAGUGUUAUAGACCAACCGCCAGUCUCAGUUUGAUAUAUUCAGGAAAAAAAAUCACUAUACGUUUUAAAUUUCUUUGGAACAUAAGACCAUGUCAUGUUAAUUUACUUGAAUUGGUAAAUCAGGCUUCUAAUGGUCUACUCCAGCCUAAUGUAAAAAAAUAUAAUUAUAUACCCAUGAAAUGUAGAAAGUGAGCACGAGGAACACAGUUGCCAGAAUGCAGCGCUCACCUAUUAUCAUCAGUAACACCAUGGCGGUUCCAUGUCCUAAAUAGAGCAGCUAGUGAUAGAAGGCAUUUUAAAGCCUCGACCUAGACAUAUACGUAAAAAAGUUACUAACAGAAGAUUGUGCUGAAAGAACAAAAGAGGAAAAAUCUGACAAUCCAGUGGGCACAUUAGUUCAUGCAAAUUGAUGGACAAUCUAAAUAUAUACAAUAUACAUCUCGAGACAUAAUUUUCUCACCGAAAAAUUAGCUGUUGUGACACUAUAUUCAUACUUUCCGGCUCUUUUUGACCACACAAUUAAUAUUGCCUGAGAACUUGUUAGCAGCGUCAAUGCAAGAGUAACAACAGACCUGUCACGACAUAAAGAUAAGAUGUCAGAUAAUAUUGAAGGAAGUGAUUGUAAAGAAAGGUUGAGGGAAGCAGGACUUACUUUAGCUUCCAACUAGACUUGCCUUUUGCACCUCCUGCAGAACUGAGACCACUAGCUGUAGCUGACAGAAUCAACAAUAAGUUCCACGUUGUACAAAUAAUAAGAGAGCAUUUCGACAACAAUGUAUCAAUAACUUACUGUUUGCGCUAGAUAGCGACCUCCCACUGAGGCUUUCUACAUCCUUCUGAGAUAAAUCAUCAUAACUCUCCUUCAGGGACAGAAGAUACAUUAGAGACUGCUCUAGAGAAAUAAACGGUUGGUGUAGUGAAUAAAAACAAAUAAAAGCAAUGGCCACGCUAGUUACUGCUGAUUUUCUUUUCAUGUGGUUACCUACGGUUACGGGAGACAGGAACUGGAUCAAAAUUGGUCAAAUCCAGUUAAAACCCUACAGAUCAUGAUUUGUGCAUGCUGGUCCAGUCUUUUCACCCUUCAAGUGUUAUAAAUAACAGAUACACCAUUUUGCGAAGCAUCAGUUUAUCAGUUCACUCUUUAGGUAGUCCGUCAUAAAUGACAGAAUUCCAAGUUCGAGCAGUCGUUGACAUCAUCAGUGAGUCGAACUUAAAACAUAAAAUGAGCUAAGUCACAAUGUUUUUUAGGUUUGGACUGCCGUUCCGACAGUUUUAGCUUUGCAAGCAGCCAGCCAAUUAUCAGGUAGUGACUUAUACUUUUACUCCCUACUCAACUGGGAAACACAAAGCUGAACUUGGUUACUUGGGAAAGAACUACGACAGACUUGUCACUUCACCCAAGGCCCACAACAUUAUUCUAGAAAGCUAGUAUUUGACAGUGCACACACAAUUGCUUGCCUCUGUUGUUCGAAUCAUCUCCAAAUUAACCAAUACCACAAACUGGGCUCACUGGAAAUGCAGUCGUGUAUUCUGAAUUUAUACCAAAACGAGUGGUGGCAAGAGCAUGGCCAAUCUGAGAGAACAAUACAAUCUUAAAAUUCGACAGCAUUGCCAAUAGCAGUUAUCCAGCACAUGGAAAACGACCUGACUCCCCAAACAAUAUUUGCAAGCAUGUCAAUCCCACGCACAUUCACCCACAACACCACAUUUUAACAACGACAGUUACAGAAAUCUACCGCCCAGGUACCGAUUACCAGUAGAUUACGAACCCUAGGAUAAGACAAUGCUAAGAGGGAGAAAAGGGGAGAAUUUCUCCUAGAUCGAAGAGGCUGCAGAAGGGACCUAAUCGGAGGGGCGCAUCGAAUCUGAUAAAUUCCUCUCGGGGUUUGAGGCCUUUUGCAGUUGCUAAUCCAGACACGGGAUUUACCUGAUCCUUCACCCUCCUGUACUCCAUCGCCGCCUCUCCGCUUCGUUCCGGCUUGGAAGCGCUUGGGAUUUGAGGGGUCGAGGGAGAGCGCCGCCGCGCGCGGCGUGUGGGAAGGCCGGUGUGUGGGUCCCGGGCCAAGGUGACACGGGCACGGGAGCCGAGGAGCGUGUAGUGUGGUGUGGACUGUGGAGCAGCACGGCGGAGAGCCGGCGAGGGCUGGAAGCGUAAAGAGUGUGCGUGGCAAAUCUGUAAUUUUCCUGGGUUCAGUGAUACUUUCGCCUGUCAGCCUGUGCGCCAGCUAACAGCCUAACAUGAUGAUAGCGAAAGAGCAAAAUGUGAGUAUAAAAACUUUGAAUACUACAGAGUCCUAUAAAGUUAUAAUAUAACUUCUAAAAAGUUUGUACGUAUAGUAUUUUUACGAUAAUCCUUUUACCUACGGUUAAUCUCUAUCAGCAACUCCUAUUGGUGAGCUCCCACUGCCACCAUACCUUGUACCUUAGAGGGAGGAACAUAGGGUGGAGCUAGAGGGAACCAACCUAUCAUAAGCCACCGCUAAUAGAGUUUUGCAUCCCAUUUUAGGAGGUAGGAAAGGAUUUAGGAUUGCUGGAUUGGGAGGUCACGGCGUGAAUUUUUGACGUUCACAUCUGAUCCAAUGGAUACAAGUUGUUCAGCUGCUCAAGUUUUAUUCCUUUCGUCGAAAAACGCAGGACAACCGAAAUGUAACGAUCACGUGUCGGCUACUCCCUACUGCACCACAUCCAUCGGUCCAUAUUCUCUCCACCUCGUUUAUUUGGUUUGGCUUCCGUCAAAAGAAUUAGUACGAGGCAAAACAUUAUCUCAACUCCCAACCCUAGCCCCUAGACUCACAAAAUUGCUUCUGAGUGUUUGGAACCAAGAACAUCCAUUAAUCCCGCUUCCCCAGCUAAAUCAGUCUAACUCAUUUUCAUGGGAUUAUGCAUCGAAUUCAUUUUUUUCCUCGAAUAUGUACGAAAGCUGCGCAUCAUUUUUAUUAAGGUCCCGUUUGGAUCAUCGGAAUUGAAUUCCAUCCUAAUAAUCAUAAUUUAGACACAAAUUAAUUAAGCUAAUAUAAUUGUAUGUGGAAUAUAAUUGUAUAUUAUAGUUGGUGAUAUGGGAGAGAUACUUGUAUGCUGCACUUCUACUAUAGAGAAGCGAGUCUAAGAGCGUGCUAUAAGAAUUGAAUUCCAUUCUAAUAACCAUAAUCUAUACCCCAUGAAUUUAAGAUAGGCUUAUAUCUAAACUUUGGAAAGUUGUGGAAUGCCACAUUCCAACAUAAAUUAACCUACUCCAUAAAUAGAUUCCAAUUCCUUGGACCCAAACGGGGCCUAAGAUGAAAUGAAAAUCGAGAAAGAAUGUUUACAUCAUCACAGUGCUGGAUCCCAACCCUUGAAGGGUGUUUGGAUCCCGGAGCUAAAGUUUAGUCUGUGUCACAUCGGAUAUUCGGAUGCUAAUUAGGAGAACUAAAUAUGAGCUAAUUACAAAACUAAUUGCAGAACCCCUAGGCUAAAUCGCAAGACGAAUCUAUUAAGCCUAAUUAAUCCAUCAUUAGCGAAUGUUUACUGUAGCACCAUAUUAUCAAAUCAUGGACUAAUUAGGCUUAAUAGAUUCGUCUCGCGAUUUAGCUUAGGGGUUGCGAAAUUGAUUUUGUAAUUAGCCUAUGUUUAAUACUUCUAAUUAGUGUCCAAACAUUUAAUAUGACAAGGGCUAAAAUUUAGCCCGAGGAUCCAAACACCAACAACCGACUGCUAGUACCUACUAUUCUCUAUUUAGUCACCCAACCGGGAGGCUUCUGCCUCAAUCCAUUAGAGCACCUCCUUUCUGAUUCCCCUCAACAGCUCAUGCACCGUCGCGGCUCGGCUGUCGAAUGGGCGUGCGUUGCGUUCAUCCCACAAGCUCAAUAUGAUUAGCAUGAAGAGCGUAUCGAUUAGCAUUAGCGUAGGUGCUCGUCGUUCAACUCAAAAUUAUCUUUCCACAAAGAUGUGUGGUGAGUGUGGAUUAAAACAUUGGUGUUAGCAUGCAGCAGACCACUAUCAUAUAUAACGACACAAUGCAAAUUAUACAUGACGCGGGCACGAGACGCACGUCACGUGCAUUGUGAUCAGAACGAUUGAACGAAAUUAAACACACUGCCGGAAGGAAAUAAAGUUUCCGAGUCACCGUCGUAGAAGACGUUGCACAGCUGACGCGAGAACUUGCGAUAGCAUGCGUGCAUACCGCAUACGCUUCCCGUGAUGCACCCAACGGUCACAAUGCACGGUCGAAAAUGGAGUACUAGCAGUAAUCAAUACUGGAGCACGCCGCAUAGUACCAAAAUAAUUGCCUAGGACUCUAGGAGUAUACAGUAUCGAUCAAAACAUGAAUUAAACGAAGCCAUCGGCAGCACGUCGAUGGGCGACACGCAUGCGUACAACCAGCGGCGCGCAAUAUGCAAGGUCGCGGUCGCCGUCGACCGAUUAUUUCAAAGGCCGCCUCGCCGCCGCCGCCUCCGCCGCCGCCGGCGGCGGCGGCGGCGGGAACUCGUGCUGGUAACUGGCAUACCCCUUGAGGUCCUCGAUGGCGGCUAGCACCUUCUGCAUGUCCCUCAGCGCCUUCUCCUCCUGCCGCGCGAUCUUCUCCUCCAGCUCCCUCACCCGCCGCCCGUCUGCGCCGCCCUCGCCCCCGGACCCGGAGGAGGAGGAGGGGAGGCUGAUGCUGUCCCAGAGCUUCGAUGCCCGCGCCAGGAUCGAGGUGGGCCUCACCGGGCCGACCAUCUCCUCGUACCUGUCCCUGAGCUUCCACCCGCCGAUCCCCCCCGCCGUCGCGAUGCACACGGUCUUCACGAACCGCCAGAACAUCUCGACGCGAUGGUUUCUCGCUCUGUACGUAGCUGUAUCGUCGUCGUCUCGGACCCUCUUGCUUGCUUGCUGGGUGCGUCGCGAUCUGGCUCAGCUAGCCCGACGGGCGACGGGCGAGACGACGACGACCGUGUGCGAGAUGAUGAAGGCGAUGGCGUGCGCGCUGAAGCCGUGGGCGAUUGGGUUUAGUAGUAGUAGCUGCUGUUCAUCGCAGGCGUGGCUUGCGUCGCAAGACGCAAACGGAGUUUGUGUCGUGUGCCCGCCGGACGGCGGCCGUGGUGGGUCCUUACGUGCUUUGGCACGACGGUUGGUUGAGGGAUGGGCUUAAAUGGGCUAUCUUUGAGGUUUUGGGCUUUCCGCGGCGUUCAUGACCCAACAACGCGUCCGGCCCAGCCCAACAACGCGUACCGGCGCGCGCGUGCACGUAGCAUUUUACUUACGAGCGUAUAAUAUACGUGCACGUGUAUACCCUGUACUUUGUACGUCUGGAGGGAGUCUGGCUGGACUGCACGGCGCGUAACGUUUGCACCACGGAAAAAAAGAAAUGGGCUGGGAUGAAGAAGCCCCGGGCUCCGCUUCGAUUACUCGGCCCCCUGCGGGUAGUCCAGCACAUGCGCACGUGCGGCCCACUAAAGCGAGCAUCGGGCGUGGGGGCGCUCCCCUACUUGCGCAGCAGAGUUUAGUACCACCAUGGCUAACUAAUAACGACGAAAACAACAGCUUAUAAAUUGAAGCGUUGCACUAGUCAUCGUCUCUUGAAACGAUACAGAGAAGAUUAGUUUGACCCCACUUCUUUUUCAGCCCCUGCAGCGUGCGGUAUCGUUACAACGAGGUCCCUCUUCGUUUUCGGUUACCUCCAUCCCUUUUUCUUUCUUUGCAGCUGCACCCCUGGAUCGUUACAUAUUGGACCUAGCAACUUCUGCAUAAUCAUGAUAAGGCCCUUACGAGUGUGGCAGUUAAUUACCUGUCACCGAUCUUCAUUCUUUUGUGUCAUUCAUUUUCUUCUUCUGCCUUCCAGAAAUAUAUUCAAGUUACGUUUAGAAUAAUAUGCAUAUAAGUCCAAAUUCUCUAAAGAAACCUGUUUACGUAUCGCAAUUAUUUUUUUCUUGUGCUGCACUCGACAAAGAUCACGAUGUUUGUCAUCCAUAAAAAAAAGACCCUGCUUUUCCCGUCUACAGCUUUUCUUCUCAAUCGGCUAGUCUCACUCUCACAUGCACUCCAUUGCAGUAUAGCACUCUCCUCUCCCCCCGUCUAUAAUCGCUCCUAAAUCAUUUCAUUGUGCUUACCUUCGUAGAGUACUUCGUCAAAAACAGGAGACUGGAGUAGCAGGGUUGAUGUAGUGCAAGCUUUGACUAUUCAGCACAGCUGCACAAGCACAUAUUGCAGCCCAGCCAGCCAUCACACUACACUACCAAAUUUUUGGAGUCAAACAAGACGAUGGCCAAAUCACAGGAACCUGAACAAAUACGACUCGAAUUGUAUAAAUAUUACUCAAUCCAACACAACACACGCAUAAGCUGUCAAAACAAAUUCCAAUCACUUGUUUGCAGGAUUAAUUUGGCAAAUUACACUUUCCUCCAGGCCUUGCUUAAAAGAACGAAACCCCAAUCUGUCCUAAGCGUCUCCCGUGAAGCAGAUGAGUAGUGUACCAGUUGUAGGAAGCAUCUCUAACUUAGGUGACGAAACCUGCGGACAUUUCUCGAGCUAGGAUUGGAUCACGUCACCUCGAUUUCUCAGCCAUCCGAUCUUACAUCUACGGUGAAAACAAGAUCGCACGAGUGGGCAUUGUCUCAGGCCAGCUAGCUUCGCGUUCCACCUCACGGCUUGUGAGUUGCGAGCGGCCGGCUUCCACGCCGCAGUAGCAGCUUCGAUGCCGUUGACAGGGGGGAAGGGGUGGAUAUCAAUUUGCUCCACCUGCUCACCAUGAUUAGUUUGUCCUGUACAAACCGAUGCGAAGAUUAUGCAGCAGCCAGCAGGAGCUUCCAGCUUGCAAACUAAUUCUUACUCCAAAAUGUGUAAGCUUAAUUGUACAAAUUUCCCUAGGUGGUGCCUGUAGCUUUCCUAUAUUAUAUCUCACAAAUAGUUGCACCUAACUUCUUAUACUGUACAGUGUUGUUCAGAACCUCAUACAACUCUGAGUGAUAAUUUUCUUAAACGCAACCAUUCACUUAAAAAGGACUUAAACUUCUACGGAGAGACGAUACGCUCGCCAAAACCUCCAUGAUUAGUUUGUUAGGUGCAGCAUCUCUGUAUAACUGAACUUUUUGAGUUCAAUGCAGGAAUAGGCUUCUGGUAUAGCAUUACUGAAUUUUGUGGACUUGACACCGGAAUGUGACACCAAGCUACAACGCAUGAUGAAGAGUUGGGCAAAGGCAAUGCUAGAAAAUGAAAAAAGCUAUGUUCAGAAGUGUUCUAACUUGAUCUGGAUGACCUCCAUUUCUAUACAACAGUCAGCUUGGAGAUUGCUCCUAAAUCAUUUCAUUGUGCUUAACUUCUUAGAGUACUACGUUGAUGCGGCCAUAAUUUUGUGAUAAUUUUUGUGCUUUUCCCCUGGUCCGACCAUGCAUAUGCUGUUUUUUAGUCUAUCAUGGUUUGAAUUAAUGUCGUAGCAUAUGCAAAAUCUGACUUUAAUUUACCUCUUUUAUUGUUAACCAUAUAGGAAAACCAAAUGGUACACUUAUCGUUGUUGCAUUUAGUUUCAUUCUCAUUUCACUUUCACGUUACUUAUAUAUAUAAACCUGAUUUGCUUCAGUUGAUGACUACUACAUCCAUAGCUCCUCGAACCUCUGUAUGUGCAUGUAUUUAUUAGCUUGAUGAAACUUUCAGUUUACUGAUUCGAUCUUGCAAAAUUGCUAGACUAUUAGUUUCUUCACGAUUCAAUGUGACAGAUUAAAGGUGACACAGUGUUGUUCCCCGAUGCAUGACCAUAUCCCAUGCAUUGCCGCACGGGUGACUAGUGGGAAAAAAACUGGCCCAAUCCGGCCGUGUCUAAAGUUCUAGUGGUACUAGAUGAGUGCCCGCGCGUUACAACGGGGUCAUAAUUAUACGUGUAGGAGUGAUUUAGUUAAAUGAUAGCGUCAAAGAAUCAACUCCUCAUAGUUAAAAAAAAAAGAAUCGACUCAUCAAUCAUUUAUUAAAUUAUACGUACGCAAUACGUGCAUUCAUGUACGUAAAAUUGUAUGGAUGAUGUAUAAAUAACAGUAUGACACAAAAAUUAUAAAAAAUAAAAAUUACAGAUCCCGUACUUAUUGCAAAAGUGUAACAUUCAUCCCUUAUAUUUUAAUUGGUGCAAAUCAAUCUCUUAACUAAUUAUAUUGGUGCACUAAUCAUCCCCUAAUUUAAUAAUGGUUUAGUGUCAUUUAAUGACGAUUUAUGCCACAUAAUCGUCUGACCAAUCACUGCUUAGCAAUUUGAUGCCAAAAUGGCUACCCAUAAAAUAUUUUUACGAAAAAAUUAACAGAACCGAUCUGUUAUAGCGAUUGACUCAACCUAAGACGUGGCUAAGCAAUGAUUAGCAAGAUGAUUACAUGACUAAAACUGUUGUUAAACUGUUGUUAUAUGAUACUUAACCAUUGUUAAACUAAUAUGGGGAGAAUAAAUUCACCGGUUUAGGUUUAGUUAAGGGGUUAAUUGCACUAAAUGCAAUAUUGGAGAAUACAUUUUUUUCCCUAGAGAUACGUGUCUAUGGGUUUCUGCAUGCGAGGUUAAGGAUGAAAGUGUUUGGGAAAAAAAUUUAACCCCCUCCUUUGGUUCUGUAUAUUUACCAAUAAACAUAAUAAGAGCUGGUCGGGAAAGGCGAAAUGAAACAAUUGGGCCAGGAAACAUGUCGACAUCUGUUGGAAACCAAUUCAAAUAUGAAAGACCAUUUAUUGAUACACCAAAAAUUAAUGUUUUUUGACAUUAGUCUUGCACAUAUUUCAUGUGCGAGUAUAUGUCUUAUGAGUAUACAGCCGAACACAGUGAUUUGCAAAGAAAAAAUGGAAAAGGAAACAAAAGAAGAAAGGGUCACCUGAUCCUCUUCGGUGGGCUUUAUGGGCCACCAUGCACAGAGCGACAAGCGGUGCUGCGCUUGCAGGCUGCUGCCCACGUGCAUGCACGAGCUAGGUAGGCAUGCUCACGGCGGAACCGUUCGGCGCGGCGCGCGUGCGGUACGGAGCCGGGAAAAAAAAAAGAAAAGCAAAGCGGGCAAGCGGAGGAGCGGUUCGCGGCGGACCGACGAGCAGCGACACGUAGUUGUAGAGAAUAGCACGUCAUGACCAACCAAUUUUAUCUCUACUUAGGCCUACUGUAUGCCUAUUAACCUGGCAUAGUCCACCCACCUGCAAAGAGAAGUAUAAUCAGUAAGUGAACUGAUCAAAACAGACAGCGGUGACAGCCUCCUUAGGGUAGAGAAUACUCACAGACAAGAACCCAAAAAUGUGUUCCCUGUCCGAACUGCAAAACUCAUUGCGGUCAAUGCUAGUUUGUGGCGGUGCAGUAGUGGCUCGAGCAGUCGUUGUUCAAUCACUCCAGCCACAAUCUGGUACCUGUUGAAACAUGUUCAAGAACAAAACAAUAAGCACCAAAUAGACUAUCAAUAUGUUUAUGGAUGAUUAUUAUGCCAUCUACUGUAAGGAGUUGACAGUUAGCAAUCUUUUCAUUUCGGUGGACAAUAUGCAAUUAGCAUUUGGCACUUCACAAUAACAACAACGCAAUGACAAGGACUCGUACGCAUACAACCAGAAGUGUACAAACAUUUGCUGUCAUACUUAAAUUCAAAUAUCAAAGAGCAUAUUAUGAAUUGUACAGUAGCUUGCAAUGAUCUAAAAUAAAAAAUCAGGAAUGAACAAAAUAUCCAACAAAGAACAAAGAGCAGUCAGACAUUUGCAUUAGCCCUUUCCAUCAGCAGCAGUCAAUUCAGGAUUUUAUGCCCUUGAGGAAAUCUUUCAGUUUCACACAAUAUCGGUUGGAGCAUGUAAAAAGUUUCAAUAAUCCUAGAACAACAUUCUACCAUUUUGAUCCCCAAAAAUAUGCAUGUUUGCAUGUCCUGGACUCCUAAAGUCCUAAUGCAUCAUAUAUUCAUAGCUUCCUAACGUCUCGAUUGGAAUGAGGCAGUCACUCUAAAUAGAGGAAUUAAACAUAAAAUAAUCACUGAGAAGUUCAUCCAUGGGAAUAAUUAACAAUUGGCACAAAUUAAAUAUCAACAGGGAAAUUGUUUGAGAUGAUGAUUGUUACCUGAGGUUACUAGAAAUUGACAUGUACACGCCAUACGCAAUACUAGUUUCUACAAUUGGAAUAUUCUUGGCUUCCUUGACUUCACCGGCAGAAUCCGAGCUGACAGCCUGCCUUGCUUUUAUCAGUGCAUUGGUCGCAGUAGUGCCGAUCUGAGGGGGAAAAAAAUGAGGACACAUCUGUAAGCUUGCAAAGUCUUGAAAACUUGCCUUGACAUUGACUAGACAAUUAUUUCUGUUAUAUGAACAAAAACUAAAUAGUAUAUCAAUUUACCACCUUGACCUGAUGAUUUACUUAAAAGAACAAAAGACGCUCUGACUGGAAGGUACAUUGGUCAUCAGUUUUACCAUUAAUCAAAAUAUCUGAUACUUUUAGCUUGGACGUCAGAGUAUACACAGAUACUAAACUAUAUAUUUUUUUCACAGACGCAUAAAAGUUAAUAAAAUAAUUAGGUUCGUAAACUCCAGGGCUCAAGGUUUUCCAGUUCUCAAUUACAAUCCAUAACAUACAUGCUUACAUUAAAAAGGUAAAAAUGGUUCAAGCAUUUCCUGAAUUAGUACCCUGCAUAACAUUUUUUAGCUAUUAUUUCCUGCUUAGCACGAAGAAGUUUAGAAAGGAAACAAUGGCUCUACUGUUGCCAUUUAAGAGUAAGUCAAAAUAGACUGCUAGUGUUUGUGAGAAAAAAGUACAUCCGCAUCCUGACAAACUUACCAGAGAGGCACUAGUUCCCACUGCAAAAAGUUUUGCACCAUUCCUCUGAAACAAGCCAAAUUGUCAGUUCGUAAUAAAAGACCAUUAAAGCUACUCAAAUUCAAAUUGAUUGUGAGCAACAUAACAAAACAAAUAAAUUCAACUUUACCACAAUAGCUCCCGCUCUCUGCAAAAGUGUGUAUGAUCUCCCAGCCAAAGCAACCUACAGCAGAAAGUUGCCAAUCUUCAUAUUCAAGUUUAAACCAAAAAAAAGCAAAAUUUUAAUGUAUACAAUAUAUCACAGGAAAGGGGAGGGAAUGAACCUAAGGAACUUGAUCCAAUUAAAUGGGAGGUAAAGAUCAGGAUACCUGGAAGGCAUUAUCUGGGCAGUUGUAGAAGAAUUUAGAAAUGGCUCCAGAAUUCAUCGCUAGUGGUG